rnacentral:lncRNA from 1 species
CCAGAGAAGUAGCAACUAAGCCACAUGCUGUUUGCAUUCCAUUCCCUUAUCAAAGCCAUAUAAAGGCAAUGCUUAAAUUUGCAAAGCUCCUCAACCACCGAGGUUUUCAUAUAACCUUUGUUAACACAGAGUUCAAUCACAAGCGCUUUCUUAAAUCUCAAGGACCCAAUUCCCUUGUUGGCUUGCCUGAUUUUCAAUUCGAAGCCUUCCCGGAUAGCCUUCCGGAUUCAGAUGAAGAUGCCACACCAGAUGCCACCUUGCUUUGUGAAUCCAUCAGGAAAAAAAAAUUCUUGGCUCCCUUUCAUGCCCUCCUUGCAAAACUCAACAAUGAUGCCAUAUCAACAUCCCACAAUCCUCCUGUGACUUGCAUAGUUUCAGAUGGUUUCAUGUCCGCGUUCACAAUCACAGCUGCUGAAGAAAUCGGAGUCCCUAUAGCGCUGUUCUACACUAUAGCUGCCUGCAGCUUCAUGGGAUUUAAACAACUUCGCGCUGUGGUCGAAAAAGGACUUUUUCCACUCAAAGGUGAAUAACUACGAAUUAAAAGCAAUUGUUGUUUCUAAACAUGCAAAUGAAAUGUUUCUUCAAUUGAAUUUCAUUUGUCUAUUGCAGAUGAGAGCUGUUUCAAAAAUGGCUAUCUGGACACCGUAAUAGAUUGGAUCCCAGGAAUGAGAGAUAUCCGUUUAAGGGAUCUCCCGACCUUCGCGCGAAACACAAAUCUGGAUGACACCGGAUUUAACUUCAUCAUGGAAGAAACCGAAAGAGCUCAUGAAGCUUCAGCAGUUGUUCUUCAUACUUUUCAUGCCUUGGAGACAGAUGUUUUGGAAGCUCUCUCAUCUAUGCUUCCCCAUGUGUACACCGUUGGCCCUCUUCAAUUGCAUCUCAAUCAGAUACCAGAGCACCCUUUGAAAAUGGGAUACAGUCCAUGGAAAGAAGAAACUGAAUGCCUCGAGUGGCUAAACACCAAGGCACCAAACUCAGUUGUCUAUGUGAAUUUCGGCAGUGUAGCAGUCGUGACACCAGAACAGCUUGUGGAGUUUGGGUGGGGACUUGCAAAUAGCAAGCUUCCAUUCUUUUGGGUAAUUAGACCUGAUCUAGUUGUUGGAGAAUCAGCUAUUUUGCCGCCUGAGUUUGUGGCUGAAACUAAGGAAAGAAGUCUAAUAGCUGGGUGGUGCCCACAAGAGCAAGUCCUCAACCACCCCUCAGUUGGAGGAUUUUUAAUGCACAGCGGUUGGAAUUCAACAGUUGAGAGCCUUACUGCAGGAGUUCCUAUGCUCUGUUGGCCAUUCUUCGGGGACCAGCAAAUGGACUGUCGCUAUACUUGCAAUGAAUGGGGAAUUGGCAUGGAGAUUAGUGAUGAUGCGAAGAGGGAAGAGGUAGAGAAGCUUAUCAAAGAGUUAAUGGAGGGAGAGAAGGGUAAGAAGAUGAAAAAUAAGGUCAUGGAGUGGAAGAAACUUGCAGAAGAAGCUACUGGUCCACAUGGUUCUUCAUCCACAAACUUAGACAAUUUAGUGAAUCAACUGCUAUUGAGAAAAAGUUAAGAUGUUUCCAUAAGAAUAUUGAUGUUAUUAAUUAUCAUUUCCAUUGCCAUUGUCUCAAAUAAUCAACUAUCUGGCAAUAUAUAUGUACUACUGGUCUGUAACCAUGAUGCGUACUAUAUCUAGAAUUUUAUUCUAAUUAAGGUUUUACUACGCUUCAGGCCUUCAACUCUAAAGUCUUUAUCAUUUUUCAGGCAAUUGUGCACUAACCAUGAUGCAUUAUAUUAAUAAUAUUUUAAAUCAAUAGAUUAAAAAUAUAAAGCUAUACCUUUUUCCACAAAUACCCCCGAGCUUAACGGGUUAACGGGUAUUCGUGAAUUGACACGACACGACACGAUAGCUUAACGGGUGACUAACGGAUCAAUACGAUAUCAACAUGACACCAUAACCCAUGCCUGAAUACUGAAUUUUUCGUGCGAAUUCAUGUCGUAUUAAUGGAUCGUGCACAAUAUUGUCUCCUCUAAACUUAGAUACUUUAGUCGAUUUAAGAAAAAACUAGAUGUUAUCCAUAACCAUAUCUCUAUUAUCACUGUUGAUAUCUCUAUUAUUACUCCAUAUAGCGUCCUUAUUCGUGUAUGAUGUCAUACGGAGCCUAAUAACAUGUUUUCUUGUUUUGUUCUAAAAAAGUUUUUUGAAAGAAGUAGAGACCAGUAAAUGAAAUUAAAAAAAAUUAAACCUCCAAUAAAUAUGGCCAUGGAAACAUGGUCUAACGCUAAAUAUAAAAUAAAAUAAGGGCAACUAAACUUGCCAUGGCCACAGACAUAGUGGCUUAAUAGUAAGUAAAUAAAAUUAACUUUGGAUAAACUGUGGUGAGGGAGUUGGAAUAGUACACAUUGAAAAGUAUCUCAGUUUUGCUUUAUAAAUAAUCUGCAUUUGCAAGCACUGCAAUGCACACACAAAAUCUCAGAUGGAUUCCACAGAAGUAGCUACUAAGCCACAUGCUGUUUGCAUUCCAUUCCCUGCUCAAAGCCAUAUAAAGGCAAUGCUUAAAUUUGCAAAGCUCCUCCACCAUAGAGGUUUUCAUAUAACCUUUGUUAACACACAGUUCAAUCACAAGCGCUUUCUUAAAACUCUAGGAUCCAAUUCCCUCGAUGGCUUGCCUGAUUUUCAAUUUGAAGCCAUCCCGGAUAGCCUUCCAGAUUCAAAUGAAGACACCACACAAGAUGUCGUUAAAAAAAUAAAGUUAGACCAUUUUCAACAAAGAAAUUAUGUGGAAGUUUCUUUAAAACCUUGUAUAAUUAUGUUGGAGAUAUUGACCUGAUGAUAAAGCAUAAUCUCUCAUUAAUACUUGAAUGCUUAAUCUGAAAGAAAGAAAAGAAAAGAAACAAGAAAACACAGACAAGGUUAAAGAAAAGACAAAAUCCAAAAGCUUACUUUGUUUCCUCGUCUUUCCAAAUCCAAAUCCAAAUCCAAACGCCACUCAAAUCAGUUAGGAAGUUUCUGAUUGUUUAUUUCAUUUCAUACUAGAUACAAAGAUAACAACAGCUUGAGUAAAAAAGAACAAAAUUGAUAUUUUAAAUUAGAUGCUCCAUUUCAAACCAUAGACACUCCUCUAACGUGAGCUUGAUGAUUAGGGACAAAACCACAUGAAUGUUAUUUCACCAUAAUGUUCGUUUUAGUCAUUGUACACAACUCACAACACUUUCACACAAAAAAUUAUUAUUGUACCAACAUCACUUUUAAUAAAAAGUUGUCAAAAGACAAACUGCUUUCUUUCACAACUGAUUUCUCUCACAGCAAAUCUGACUGUAAUUAUUUUCACAUCACAACAAUGCCAAACUAGCUUCGUUUUAGAUCCUUAUUUCUAUUCCUACUUGGUUUAGGAUUCCUAUUUUAAUCUUAUUUCCUACCCACUAUAAAUAAGGCUUUUAGGAAGUCACAUUAUUAUUUGUGGCUAGAGAGUGUCUAUGAGUGUGGUUACGAACCAAAUUACAAGUGAGUGUGAGGAAUUGGUAACAAUUCACUAUAGAAAUACAAGAGAAAAAAUAAUUUCAAACACUCCGAAGUUUUCUUUCUACUAACUAGCCAGGUGAUGUUGAGGGAUUAAGCCUUCUUCAAUUAUACACCAAGCGAGAAGAACCAUUCACUACUACAAAAAAGCAAAAAGACGACGGUAAAUUACCGUCGUGUAUUCGGUUUUUCAAUGGUCGUGGAAUCCACCGUCAUCUUUUUCCUCAUAAACCACGACGCUAAAUCACCGUCGUUGUUAAAAUAUACAACGUCAUCAUCAAAUACAAAACGACGUCUUUGUACUGCAAAAAGAUCUAAAAAAGCAGUCGAGGAUGAGAAUAGACGACCAACUUUCUAAAAAAACCGUCGUUAAAAAGGAAAAAUAUGACACAUAUUAACAGAACAAGGCCGCAAGAUAGACAUACAACGACGAAAAUUAAAAUAAGACGCCGUUAAAUAUCAUUUUCACGACAAUAAAAAAUAUGACGUCUUUAAAUACAUUAGAAGACGACGUUAUUGAUACCUACUACGUCGCCUAUAUAAAAACAGCCGUCCUAAAAUAAAUUUUCCACUUCGAUUUUUCUAUAAAAGAUGACGUGGAAAUAUUUGUCAGUGUCAUUAUUUACGACGUAUGUAUUUAUAGAGUAGACGUUGAACAACGAAACAACGUCGGUUACAAAUAUAUGAGAGUCGUAUUACAAAAUUUAUACGUCCUAUUUUCAGAAACAAACAACGACGAUAAAUAUUAGACGUUGUUAAAUAAAACAACGUAGAAAACAAAUAAAAACAGACGUGUUUAGUCUGCUAAAGUUCUAAAAAAUAGUCGAGGAUGAGAAUAGACGACCAACUCAAACAAAUCACCGUCGUUAAAAAGGAAAAAUAUGACACAUAUUAAAAGAACAAGGCCGCAAGAUAGACAUACAACGACGACAACUAAAACACUACGCCGUUAAAUAUAAUUUUCACGACAAGAAAAAAUAUGACGUCUUUAAAUACAUGAGAAGACGACGUUAUUGAUAUCUACUACGUCUCUUAUUUACAAACAACCGUCGUGAAAUAAAUUUUCCACUUCGAUUUUUCUAAAAAAGAUGACGUGGAAAUAGUUGUCAGUGUCAUUAUUUACGACGUAUGUAUUUAUAUAGUUGACGUUGAAAUGCGAAACAACGUCGGUGGCAUUUAUUUACGACGUAUGUAUUUAUAUAGUUGACGUUGAAAUGCGAAACAACGUCAACUAUAUAGUCGACGUUGUAUUUAUAUGUAUUCAUUACUCACAACGCACUUAUUAAUAUAGACGACGUUGAACUUCUAAACAACGUCGGUUCUAAAUAAAUGAGAGCCGUAUUACAGAACAUAUAGACGGCGUUGAUUAUGAUGAGAGCCGUAUUACAAAUAACGUCGUUUAAUUGAUAUUAGACGGCGGUUAUAAUGAAUUACCGUCGGAAUUCAUUUCGUUCCUCUUCGUUUAUAAAAGAACUUGCGACGUGGAAAAUGUAUGAUGACGUCGUAUUUUUUAACGUUCAGAUUAUAUAUCUCGUUUUUUAGACGUCGGUAUUAUGGGAUUGGAGUCGUGUUAUUUUGAAUUACAUGGCGGUUCUUAAUCCUUCCCCGACGUGAUAUCCUGAAUAAUUGCUUCACAAUAGCGUCGUGGUUCUUCAUUGUUACGUUGCUUUAAGACGUCGGUAAAUAUGCUGAAUAACUGGUUCACAAUAACGUCGUGUUUUAUUUGAACAGACGUCGUUUUUUAUGCAGAAUAUAAUGAUGUAAUCUGGAACCAGUAUUUUUUGCACUGAUUGUUUUGUGGCCAAAACCUGUAUAAUGAAAGUGAAGAAAUCACAUUACAAUAUAUUACAAAAUUAAUGUCAUACACUGCCAAUUACAUAAGCAUCAUUCAAUCCAUAUAUCUUCACACCCAUCUCGAAUAUUUUGACCACCUAACUCACCCACCAGUUCAUCAAAUGUGUCAACAUUUGGCAUCCCUCUAGUAAAUGGCUCACACUCAAUUAUGACAUCACCUAAGACUUCAACACCAAUAACAUCAUUAUAUUCUCUAUUAGGCAUUGAUAACACUACCGACCAACCACGAUGCAUCGGGUCGUCAACAAAAAAUAUUUGUUUGACUUGAGAAGCCAAAACAAAUUGGUCAUUCCUAUGUCCAAUUUUACUCAAAUCUACAAGGGUAAAUCCAAGUUCGUCGACUACAAGACCAGAACUAUCUAUCCAAUCACACCUAAAGACUGGGAUUGUAAACUUUUGGUAGUCAAGGUCCCAAAUUUCUUGAAUGACACCAUAGAAACCCAUAUUUGAGAGAAUUGGGUUUUUAUCCUUGACACUAGCAACUUGCAUGGUAUGUGCAAGUAAAUAAACUCCACUAUUUUGAGUUGUCCGCACAUCAUCUUGUGCCUUGAUAUUGAAUUUAAUACCUUUAAUAAGAUAGCUCCUAUAUAAUGGCACUGCCAUGUUUGGACUAGCUGCUAGCCACCUUAAAUUUUCUGAUACGCCAUGAUUGUCUUCCUCAAGUUCACUUUGAACCUGCAAAUUAAUCAUAUCUUAAUUCAAUCUAACAUAGAAAUAAGAAGAAAAUUAAAAGAGAAAUAUGUUAUUCAACAACAUAUACCUUGAAGCGUAGCCAUUGAAUGAAAGUGCUAUUGUGCUUAUCCUGCAGCCACUUUGUUCUCUUUCUAAAUUUUGGAUAAGCAGUUUUGAUGUGGAUCAUAUGUUGCCUACAUGACACGAAAAAUUCAAGCAUUACGGUCCCAAAUAUAUAAGAUAAACAUAAGAAAUAAUUUAAAAUGGAAACUUAAAGAAUAAAACUCAUACGUACUCGAUAUAAGGUAGGACUUCCUCUGUAUUCUCCAAGACAUAUAGAUGUGCUUGAUUCAACAGGUCCUGAUCAACUACGCUCAUUGUGCAACCUGAUAAUGGCUUUGAAACUCCCAUCUUUUGGCUUGAAAGCAUUCCAACUGUACUAACAUCAGAUAAAUGCUGAGUACAAAACUCUACCGCUUCUUCAGCUAUAUACCGCUCAGCAAUGCAACCUUCGGGACGAGUACGAUUCUGAACAUAUCCCUUCAGCACUUUCAUAUAUCUUUCAAACGGAUACAUCCACCUAAAAUAUACUGGCCCACAUAGACGAACUUCUCUGACAAGAUGUACUACUAGAUGAACCAUGAUAUCAAAGAAUGAAGGGGGAAAGUACUUCUCAAGCAAACACAGAGUAACUACUACAUCUUCUUCCAACUUAUCUAGCUUGGAAACAUCAACAGUCUUUGCACAUAUAGCAUUGAAGAAGAAGCACAAACGAGUUAUUGCAUACCUUGCAGGCUUCUCCAAAACAGAAUGAAUUGCCACAGGGAGCAAUUGUUGCAUUAAGGUAUGACAAUCAUGUGAUUUAAGGCCAAGAAGUCUUGAAUCUUGUAAAGAUACAAGAUUUUUAAUAUUUGAAGAAUAACCUUCAGGGACCUUCAUACCAUAGAAAGAAUUGCAAACCUCUCUCUUCUCUGCUCUUGACAAAUUCCAAGGCCCAGGAGGCAAACGAGUACGUCUUUCUCCAUACUCGGGUUGCAAAUCAGUUUUGACCCCCAUGUUCAAUAAAUCUAAUCGAGCAGCAAUCCCAUCUUUAUUUUUUCCAGGGAUCUCCAGCAAUGUACCAAUGAUACUAUCGCAAACAUUCUUCUCAAUGUGCAUAACAUCUAGGGCAUGCCUCACAGGAAGGUAUUUCCAAUACUCGAGAUCAAAGAAUAUUGAUUUCUUCUUCCAACAAACUCUGUCACCAUUUUCAACCAUAUGCAGCACUUCUUCUCCGGUUAAUGGCUCGGGAGGUAUGCCAUAUUCAGGUUUCCCAUUAAAAGCUGCACGUUGCCUCCUAUAUGGAUGAUUGAUUGGUAACCAUUUUCUAUGCCCAAUGUAACAAAUUUUGUGGCCAUUUUUCAACCUGUGACUAGGUGUAUCAUCGCUGCAUAUUGGACAAGCUUUAUAUCCUUUAACAACACAACCAGAUAAGUUUUCAUAUGCGGGGAAAUCAUUAAUUGUCCACAUUAAUGCAGCUCUGAGUGUAAAGUAUUCUCCAUUAUGUGCAUCAUACACUCCUCUAAUCCCAUCCCACAAAGAUUUUAAAUCAUCAAUCAAAGGCUCCAAGUAGACGUCUAUAUCAUUUCCGGGUUGUUUAGGACCGGAAAUCAAUAAGGUUAACAUCAUGAACUUUCGUUUCAUGCACAGCCAUGGAGGGAGAUUAUAUGUAACUAAGAUAACCGGCCAACAACUAUAUCUGCUACUUAGAGAACUGUGUGGAUUGAAUCCAUCAGAUGAAAGAGCCAAUCUCAAGUUUCUCGGCUCAUUACCAAACUCAGGCCAUUUAUCAUCAAGAAGUUUCCAAGACGGGGAAUCCGCCGGAUGAGACAUCUGACCGUCAAUUGAUUUUCUAGCAGCAUGCCAAGUCAAACUCUUAGCUGUCUCAUGUGAUUGAAACAUCCUUUUAAACCUUGGAAUUGGAGGAAAAUACCACACCACCUUCGCUGGCACACCCUCUUUCAAGAUUGAAUCUUUGCCUUCCUUCCACCUUGAGAUACCACAAGUAGGACAAUUAGUUGAAUCCUCAUACUCCUUCCUAUACAAGAUGCAAUCAUUGGGGCAUGCGUGCAUUUUCUCAUAACUCAGCCCCAAUGCACACAAAGUCUUUUUAGCCUCAUACAUAGAGGUUGGUAUUGUAUUUCCUUCUGGAAGCAAAUCGCCUUGAAGUAUCAAUAAUUUUGUAAAACAGACAUCACUCAUCCCAUGUUUUUCCUUCAAAUUAUACAACUUCACUAAUGCCGAUAACUUCGUGUACUUUCUACAACCAGGGUACACUGGUUGAUCUCCAUCCCCAAUCACAUUGGCAAACUCAUACGGAUCGGAACCAAAAUCACCAAAAUCAUUGUCAUCCAUAUCAAUUUCUUCAGACACAAAACUGUACCUACUAUGGCCAUCAUCUUCUUCAACAUUUCUACUAGCAUUAGUAGUUGCUUCCCAAGGUUCUCCGUGAAAUGUCCAAUUCUUAUAGCUUUGGUCAAUUCCAUUAAAGUAUACGUGAUCCCUUAUAAUUCCAACCCCAAACAACUUCAAAUUAACACAUUUAACACAUGGACAACGGAUAUGUGUUGUAGUUAGAAGAUUUUCUACAGCAAAGUUCAAAAAUGCUUCCACCCCCAAACUCAUAUGCCUUCGAUCUUCUAUCCGAGUGCAUCCAUGACUUAUCUAUCUCCGACACUAUAACCUAUUAUCUAUAAUAAAGUGAAAAUACAGGCAAUGACCAUCACUAUAGCAGAUUAUACAAAGAUCUAAUAGCAAGUAAUACACAAAAGAGACGACGGGUUUUAAACAAAAACAGACGUAUUUGGCAUAUAUAGACGACGGAUUUUCAACAGACGUCGUCUAAUAUAAGUAAUACAAACGACGGUUUAUGAAAAAACCGUCGUGUAUAAGUAAUACAACGACGGUUUUUUCAUAAACCGUCGUGUAAUGAUCGUCGUAUGCCUAAAAAGGCGUCGUGUCUCAGUUUAUUUUCAAGAACCCAAAACCCAUUAAGAACACAACAUAUAUAUGAAACCAAGCAAGAAACCAACAUAUACAUGAAACCAAGCAUGAAAACAAUAAAUCCAUUCCCAAUUCAACAUAACAUAGGGUGAUUAAAAGAUCCGACAAAAUUAAAUCCAUUCCCAAUUCAACAUAACAGAUAAUGUAAUCCAUGAACCCAUUAAAGAGAAAAUCCAUGAACCCAUACCUAUAAGCACAUUAUUAACAGAUCACAAAGCAUAUACCUAAAACCCUUUAACAAAACAACCUAAUAUCAUUCAAUGAAUUUACAAGGGGAAGAUAGGGUUUGUACUUACAGGUUGGACGAGCUCACAGAUUCGACGGAGCCUGGAGAGUGCAACUUUUAAUUAGAGCAGAAGUGAGAGAGCGAAAUGUUAUGUUGCGCGAAAUCUGAAAAUUUUAGGGUUCAGGGUUAGAAGUAUAAGAAUAAGAGCCAAAUCUAAAAAAUUUAGGUGGCGCGAAAUUUUUUAGAGAGCGCGCUCUUUAAAACGUCGAAAGAAAAACCAUGGCGAAAGUUCUACAAGAACCGACGUAAAUGUAAUAUUCCACGACGGAAACACUGAACGUAACGCCAUUUAUUUUGACGCUUCAUUUUUCGGAUUAAUUUUAAAUUUAUUUUGAAUAUUUUGAUAUAAAGACAACUGAAAAACCACGUCGGGGUUAAGAAAUUUAAGACGUUGUAAAUUAUAAUAGACGACUUACAUAUUAAAAUGACGUCGUUUAAAGUAUAAACCAUGUCGGAUAUUUUACUGCACGACGUAACAUAUGUAUUCCACGACUCAACUACCGUCGUUAAAAAUUAAUACCCUAAACCCUUAAAACUAAAUUACAUAAUUUAAAAAUUUAAGUUUAUAAAAGGGUUUAUGGUUUUACAGCCUAAUAUAUACCCUAUACUACCCAAAAAUUAUACUUUAAAAAUAAACCCCAAUAAAUAACAACCCUAAUCUCUAAACCCUAGACUCUAAACCCUAAACCAUAAAACUAGAAGUGAUUUUAUGACUCAUCAAAACAAUUUUGUUUUGGAUGGUCAUUUUAAAUUUUUGUUAUUCAAAAUGAAUUUUUUCAAGGUUUAGGGGGAAGAAAAUAUAUCAAAGACUUCAUAGGAGUUGACUUUGCAUUUUUCUGAUUUAUUUUAAAUUUAUUUUGAAUAUUUUGAUAUAAAAAUAAUAAAAUAUUCUUAUCACAACAACAAACCACGUCGGUGUUAAUAAAUUGUAGACGUUGUAAAUUGUAAUAGACGACUAAGUUGUUAAAAUGACGUCGUUUAAAUGAGAAACCAUGGCGGAUAUUUAACUAUCCGACGUAAAAUAUAUAUUCCACGACUUAACCGCUGUCGUUGCAAAGUACUACCCUGAACCCUUAAGAAAUUGAAGACGUUGUAAACCAUAAACGACUCAAUUGUUCAAAGAACGUCGUCUAAAUAUCCUUUUACGUCGGAUUUGUUUAAAACGAAACAACAAAAAACGACGGUUUUUGACUUUAUUAGGUCGUUGGAAAAGUAUUACACGUCGGUUACGCAAUUUGUAUGUUUGUUUUUUUUUUUAAUUUAAGAAAACCUCAACAAAUUUUUACAUUAUAUAUUAUAGACAAAAUUUGUACAUUAUACAUAAAUAUCAAGUGUUCAAUAAUUCCCCUAUUCCAGGUGAAGGCAAACAAACUCUGCCCAUUCAUUCCGGACUUCAUCAAUUGCUUCUUGGGGGUAUGGCGCUUCCUGUUUUCCCUUGGCAUACUGCAUAAACAAUGACUAUUAGGGUUUAUAAAUAAAAAGAAAUUCAAUCACAGACGACGAUAUUUUUCAUAACCGACGUAGUAUAUCUAUUCAACGACGGUAAUUUUACAUGACCGUCGUUGAUAAUACAAAAAAUGACGUAAAAUGUAUGAAGGUAAUUUCUUCUUACCUUCUUCUCAAACACCAAGGAAGGAUCCAUGAUGAUGUCCCUCAUGAAGCGCAUCACAUAAUACCCGCAUUCGACACUGCUGGGUUGCUUUGGUGUGCCUGACAGAGUUUUUCAAAUUACUGCUUUACGGCCUGAUCUGGCUAUGUGAGAAUUAUAUAUUUUUAUAGCACUGUUCACGAUGUUUUUGGCCUCUUCAUCGACCACACGAUUUCCGGGCAGAGGAUCCAGAAAAUAGACGAUUUCCCUCUUUGCUCUCACAAUCAGCAAGAUCCAAUGACGGCUGCACAAAAUUAAUAUAAAAACGACGGUUAUUUACAAAAACGACGUAUUAUAAUAUUUCACACGACGAAAUAAAGUAGCAAUCGACGGCAUUAUAUAUUUAUCAUGACGAUAAAUAACUACCGACGUGGUUAGUAGUUUCAAACGACUCAAUAAAAUAAAACACCGACGUGGUUAGUUUAUACGCUGUCAUUUAUUGAAAAUCAUAAAAACAAAAUCCUGUUAAGGAGACUAACCCUGGAUUGUAAGGCAUCAUGAAAAUCUGUUCACCAUCAGUCCUCUGAAGUCGAGCUGCUACCGGUCGUGAUCUGUCAGCUAUUGUCCCAGAGUUGGCACUAACUGUAGCAGGGUUGAUAAAGCCAACCAUGCUGCACAUAUUUGCUUGUUUCAAAAGAUCGUGUAAGUACCUAAAUAUAUAAAAUAAUAUAAACAAGUCAGCACAAAAAAAACACACGACGGUUAUGUAUAACAAAACGACGUAUUAUAAAAUUUCACACGACGUACUGAAAUAGACAACAACGUUAUAAUAUAUUUAUCACGACGGUACAUACUAACGACGUGGUUAGUUAGUUAAGACGACGCAAUAAAUAAACCAACGACGUAUUAUUUUAGAAUGACAAACCUCAUAUAUACAGCAAUGACAGUGGCUCCUAUUUCUUCCAUGCCUGCAAAUUGUGUAAUAUCUUCAGGCAGGAGGAAGGUAUCGCGUUCUAGACCAAACACCUUCUUAUCAAUUGUAAAGUUCAGGGUCUUAUCCUGAGGCACGAGUGUCGUUUUCACAUAACGACAAAGGGAUUUGAAAGAAGAUGGCGCCUCCAUAUUUGAAUAAUCAACAACUUUAAUAACCUGUUCAAAGAAAUAAAAAAAAUGACGUGGUAAUUCAAUAAAAACGACGGUUUAAGGAAUAAAACGUCGUCUGAAAAGAAUUUAAACGACGGUGAAAAAACCGUCGUGGUGAAUAAUUUAUUACGUCUUAGAAAAAAAUUCGCCGUCUAAGUUGUAAACAAACGACGGUUUAAAGAAAAAUAUCGAUGUCUGAAAUUUUGAAAAACAAAUAAAAAAGGCAAAGUUAUGUGAACAUACCUGGUCGUCAUGCUUUUCUUCAUCUUCUUUCUCCUUUUCAUCUUGUUUUUCUUCUUUCUUCUCUUCAUCUUUUUUUUCUUCUUCCUUCUCUUCAUCUUUUUUUUCUUCAUUCUUCUCUUCAUCUUGAUUUCCUUCAUUUUUCGGUUUUUAGUAAUAAAGAAUGUAGAGAAAUUAAAAAAAUUAAAUUCAAACGUCGUGGUAAGACAAAACACAAGAUAGUAUGGACGUCUUAAAUUAUUAAACGAUGGUAAAUAGUAAACGUCGUGGGAUUUAUAUAUUACGUCGGGAAUGACUAACACCGUCGUCUAAAAACCACAAAGUUUUAAAAAUAACGACGUUUAAUGGCGUGUAAAACAAGUAAACUAAAUACGACGUGGUAUUGAAAUACAAACGACGGUUUAUUUUUAAAAUCGUCGUGGUAUGUAUUUCAAACGACGGUUUUAUUAAUAAUAACGACGUCUAAUAGUUUUUUAAAAAACAGAGAAUUCAAAGUUCAAAUAUGUUACCUUUUCUUCCUGAUGUUUCCCAUUUUUGGCAGUAUCAUCCUCAAAAUGUAGGGAUCUCACAUCACCUCCAGAGCAGCUUGCUUUGUCAGACAUUGGAUUUCUGAGACUUUGGCUAAUUCUUGGUUUAAGCAUGCUUGGAUCAAAAUUGGGAAUUAAUUGGGAAAGCUGACUCAGGAAAUGCUCCCUCUCAGCCUCUACCAAUUGUUUGGUUCUAGCCUCCAUCCUUAAAGCCUCUUCCCUUGCCUUAGCUUCCAUCUUUUUAUUCUCUUCUUGAAGGAGAACUCUUAAACUGUCCUUUAAACGGUCGUCAAAGCUCAUCCUCUGUGGUUUGGGUAAAUUGAAAUAUUGCCUUGGGGAAAUCCCAGCACCUACACCUCUCACUCUGCCUGGAUGCUCGGGGUCCAAAGCCAUGGUCAGCACAUCAUUGCUGCCAGAUACACUGACUUUGCCUUCCGAGACUUGUUUUUGCAAUUCAUCCUAAAACAAAGAUAUAUAAAAAAGUAAGAACAAAAAACACACGACGGUUAUUUAUAUACAAACGACGUAUUAUAUAAUUUCACACGACGCAAUAACAUAUAAAUCGACGUUAUUAUAAUUUAUCACAACGGUAGUUAUACCGACGUGGUUAGUUUUUUAAAACGACGAAAUGAAUAAACCACCGACGUCUUAUGCUUUAUUUACAGAUAACAGAGGGAUGAUUCAAUAUUCACACCUUUAACGACCUUGUUUAACACAUUUCGACGUAGUAAUUUAAUACAAACGACGCGAAAAUGAACCACCGACAUCUUAUGCUAUAAUUACAGAAAACAGAGUAGUGAUUCCUGAUUUAGACCUUUAACGACGUUUUUAAAAAAAUGUCGACGUGGUAAUAUCAUUCACACGACGCAAAAUAUAACAUAAGACGUGAUAAGAAUUAUUCACAGUUUAAUAAAAAUUUAAAACAGAGUGAGUAGGCUUACAAUUAAUUUUGCUUUCUCUGCCACCUUUGGAUCUGGGAUGUUACCAUGUUUGUCCUGUCUAGCUCUUUUCCAUAAGGUAGAUCGAUCAAUUUCUACCCCAGGCAUGGUUUCCUCCAAUUGAUCCUCCAAACCAGCAUAUCCUUUUCGAGACAAUCGAUGAUUGUACUCAAGUUUCUCCCUAAUCUGUGCAUGUUGAGAAUGCACAGACUCAAAAUCUUUGGAUAACUUUGAAGCUACAAAGGCAUCCCAUUGUGCUUUCUCUAUGAAUUUAUAUGUCUCAGGGGGUUGGCUUAAUCUCUCCCUGUCAUUGAUGUAUGGAAGGAUAUAAUGCCUCGUUAGUGUAGACUUGAAAUCCUUCCAUUUCUUGGCAGCAGAAGCUAACACAGAGUUCUUGCCCCCUUGACCUACCACAAAAGCAAUGUCAACUGCUUCCCAAAUCUGCUCCUUUAUAUCCUUGGGAAUUUGAGCCCAUUUCAUGUCCACAAGUGGAACUCUGGAGCGUGCCAACACACCAAUGUAGGACUGCAUCUCACUAUGUGCUUGGCCAAUUCCUUUCCCCCUUUUAUUGUACUCAACAAUUGGCCUGAGUUUAUGAAGUUUUCUCUUCACAACACGAGGCAUUGUGUUCAUACCUCGACCAGACUUUGAAUCAUCAGAGAUUGUUGUCGUGCUGGUUGGUUCUGUCUCAGCAGAUGAUGAAGAAAACUUCAUCUUCUUCAAAGACUUCUCUUCAGAAGUUACCAUUCCAAGCUCCUUACCUCCAUUUUUCUUGGAGCCAGAGUCCUUACUUUGGUCUUGAGAAACCAUUUUUACAGACAAAACUGCAAGUGAAAAUAUUUCAGGAAAAGAUUAAGAACACAAACGACGGUUAUUAAUAAAAUAUGACGUAUGAUAUGAUUUUAAACGACGCAAUGAAAUAAUCUCAGACGUAAUAAAUGUUUAAAACCAAGGUAAUUAAACAACGACGAAAUAAUAUAAAAUAAGACGUAAUAAUAACUUAUUACGUCGAUAUUUACCGGACGACGUGAUAAUUAACUAUAAACGACGAAAUAUUUAUAUAACGUCGUGGUAUUGAUGUUCACACGACGUCAAUAGUAAUAUACCGUCGUCUAUAUAAGGAUCCAAAAUCCUUCUUUCUUUCUCUGUGAAUGUUUGAUUGUAGAUUUGAUUUUUCUGAACCAUGGUUUUUGUUUUCUAAUUUGAUAAAAUACAAGGCCAAGAAAGAAAGUUUUGGAAUCUUAUAUAGACGACGGUAUUUUAAUAUGACGUCGUUAUAUUAACAUUCACACGACGUAAAAUAAUAAGAUACUGUCGUCUAUAUUAGAUACCAACCCUACUUUCUUUUUCUUUAUAUUUUAUCAAAUUAGGGAAAAACAAAAACCAUUGUUCAGAGAAAUCAAACCUGCAAUUAAACAAGCAAAUAAAAAAAAGACUAUAAUUUUAAAAACAACUUUGUCAAUUUUCAGACGACGCUAGAACGACUGACGAACCGUCGUGGUCUACAUAUUUAACCACGUAAAUAAGAAGCUACCGUCGUCUUAUUUAGUUGAGGUAGUUGUCUUCAAAGUUGGAAACUUUCCCUCUUUGUCUGUAUAUUUUAUCAAACUUGGAAAGAAGUAAAAUGAUUUUGGCCAGAAAAAAGGUAAAAAGAUUUUUCAAACAAAAAACGUAUGAGCAUGCAAAAUAGCAACCAAAAUAGUGAAAAUGAAAUCUUACCUUUUGCGUGCAAUGAAAGCAAGAGGAAGACGAUGUUUAAGUUCAGAGACGACGAAGAAGACGAGAGGAAGACGAUAAGAUACUCUGACAGUGCUCUGACAAGGAAAAAAGUCAAAAAGUUUUCUCUGGGAGAUUGAAAUUUUUAAUCGGGUUUGGAAACAGUGCAUGUGUAAGUCAGGUAGACGAAAAGUUGCUUACAUAUAAAACCAUUUCAAAAAAAUAAUACGGCGGUUACAUAUAACUACGACGUAUAAAUUACAAAAUACGACGGUACAUUUAACUUCGGACGUGGUAAAUAAAUACGACAGUAGUGUUGUAGGUACCGUCGUAAUAAACUCAAAAAUUAAAGUACAUAAGUAAUAACUCGCGUCAUGGUAGAUUAUUUAACACGUCGUUUUUAUUAAUUUACCGACGUUGAUUUUACAAUUUAAACGGCGGUUUUUUUGUAAGGACCGCCGUUGGUUUUAAAAAUUUAUUCUAUAAAUUUGUCGCUUUCAUUCAUUUUCGGUUUACAUUUAGGGUUCCAAGUUCUUCCUCUCUCAGAGACACUGUCUCUCACAUCUCAAAGACAAUAAUUUGGAUGUCUUUCUCAAAGAGAAAUUGAGCUUACUCGCAUCAAAUCUAUGUCCACAAGAAGAAGCUUGUCAACUAGCCUUCUCACUUCCUUGAUCAAGCCUGAUAGGACACUUAGUGCUUCUGAAUACUCCUUGCUUUCCAUCAAAAGAGAUGCAAGCCUGGGCUCCACUCGCUGUCGAAGGAAAGUUCGCUUCUCAGGGAAAUCUGAAGAUCAGAUGUGCCUGAUCCUCUGCUUGAUUUUCUUGGCUAAGAAGAUCCGUCAUAUUUGUGAUAGCCUCUUCCUUUAUCCGUAGAGCUUCAGACGAAGAAGAUGGGUUUCAAGAAUGCGAUAAAGAAUAGAAAUGGCUUCAGAUGGCCUCUAAAGACAUUGUCAAUGCUUUGAACUAUACAAGUCCUGUAGAAAGAUAAAGGACCAAACUGUUAAAGAAACUGAAACAACGGCGGUUUUCUGUUCUACCGUCGUCUUUUUUCGUCGUCUAUAUUAAGGUAAGAUGGCGGUAGAUUUAUAAUUACCGACGUAGAUUAUUUUGUUAAACGUCGUUAAGUGUAAUACAACCGACGUGGAUUUUAUUUUUAAAUUAUAAAUAGAGUUUUUUUUCCCGAAUUCUUUCAGUUUUAGUUUUCAAUUACAAAGCGUGAUAAAUAGAUUUUUCUUUCCCGAGGAAAUUUAAAAUGAGGGAAAUUAAUGUUCUAGAAUUUGUAAACUAACACGACGCAAUAUUACUAACCAGAGGAAAUUAUAAACAGAUUUUGCUUUCCCGAAGAAAUUUUAAAUUAAUUCAGUUUGAAACAAGGACGGUUUUUUGUUAUGCCGUCGUUUUUAACUAACACGACGCAAUAUUUGUUUUGCGACAUGGAAUCUUUUCAUUUAACGUCGUUAGGUUUAAUAUAAUCGACGUGGAUUUGAAUUUUUAAAUUAUGAAUAGAAUUUUUUUUCCCGUGACCUUUCAGUUUAUUUUUCAAUUACAGUGCGUUAUAAAUAGAGUUUUUUUUCCGGAGGAAAUUUAAAAUGAAGGAAAUUAAUGUUCUAGAAUAUGUAAAGUUUCUUUUUUGGAUGACAGAUUUAAAUAAAAUAAGAAUAUAAAAACAACGACUGUUUUUGUAUUACUGUCGUCGUUUUUCGUCGUCUUAAGUAAGACUAAGACGACGUAAUAUAUUUGUUGAGCGACGUUGAUUUGUUUUUUAAACGUCGUUAGGUAUAAUAUAACCGUCGUUGAAAAUUGUCUCUCUGAUUGCAAAUUUGCAACGACGUUAGGUAUAAUAUUUGUAGAUACACAAACGCACACACAUCAUCAACUUCCAAAAAAUUGUCUCUCUGAUUGCAAAUCUGUGUUAUCUGUUAAGAUUAUGAUGUGGAACAGAGUUCCAUCUGGUAAGAUUUCUUAACCCUUGGGAUCUUAGAAAAAUCUGAUUAUGUCGGCGGUUUUCUAUAUAAACCGUCGUGGUUAUUUCAAUUCUUGUCAUUAAGUAGAUCUACCGACGUAGGAUAAGAAAAUCAAAGAAAAAAAUUGUUAACAAAAAUUCUUAUUAAGACGACGGUUUAAAUUAAAGGUACGACGUAUAAAAUGAAUAAAUACGACGUUAAAUUUUAUAGUACGAUUUAAAGAUAACGUCGUAGAACUAUACGAGAAUGACGUCGAUAUAUUUAUAUUUUCCGUCGUUGUACAUUAAUUUAAUACGGCGAUAUUUUGUAUUUUAAAGCCGUGGAUUUGUUUGUAAUUAUACGGCGUCUUAUACGAAAACCUCGUCGUGUUAUUUUAUGAGUAAAAACGGCGGCUUUUAUUGAAAUCGUCGUCUUUACUUUCUACGUCGGUCGAUUCAUAACUUCUGCCGUUCUUUGUUGGCUUUGAUUUUACACUGCGGAAAUCUGUUUCAAAUAGACGUCGGUUGUUUAAUUCGGUACAUCGUUGUUUUUGAACAGCCAUUUGAAUCUCCAUUUUUUAGUUGUCUAAGGUGGUAUUACACGACGGUGUUUUUAGAACCGUCGUCUUUUUAAAAACCACGACGGUUUUCACUUAGACCGUCGUUGUUUUCUGGUCGUCUUUUUCACUUUUUGUAGUAGUGAUUGCUAAAUGGAACAAGGAAAUUACAUAAUAUUACAAAUGAAACUAAGCUCUAGUGAUCUCCAUGUGCCCAAAAAUCAAACCCGAUCCAAUGCAUCUUCGUGGUUUAAUGAAUAUGGCACUUUGCUUGAAAAAGGACUUGCACACUCAAAUAUCUUUUAUAUGCAAAGAGCUUCCAUUGAGGAAUUACUUAAAUAAGUUAUUUGGAGGACACCCUUGUAGGGCCCACUUCACAUUAUAUUUCACUAAUGAAUAAUAAGGCCAUGGAGUGGAAAACAAUUUGAAUCUUUAUUCUGAUUGCUUGAUAUAACGUUUAAUUGGGUUUAAUUGUGAAAAAUACUGUAUACCCACUAAAAUAUCAUUUACCUGUUUGUUUGUUCUGGGCAUUAAAUUCUGUUGGGUAUCUUUGUUUUUAACGUAGACUUUCCCUUCAAUUUAUUUGAUUCCUACAAGGAAAACUUUUGCAGAAGAAGCUACUGGUCCACAUGGUUCUUCAUCCACAAACUUAGACAAUUUAGUGAAGCAAGUGCUAUUGAGAAAAAGUGAAGAUGUUUCCAUAAGAAUAUUGAUGUUAUUAAUUAUCAUUUCCAUUGCCAUUGUCUCAAAUAAUCAACUAUCUGGCAAUAUAUAUGUACUACUGGUCUGUAACCAUGAUGCAUACUAUAUCUAGAAUUUUUUUCUGAUUAAGGUUUCACUACGCUUCAGGCCUUUAACUCUAAAAUCUUAUUGGAGAAUCGGCUAAUAUUUAAUUAUUUUUUUAUACGUAUUUCCUUUUUAUUAUGUUCUAUACAUAUUUAAUUGGAUUACUACUCUCAAGGAAGAUUAUCCUUAAGUAUUAUAUUCAACAAAUUACUAUUCAUGUGUCAGUUGGUUUACAUUUAUUGUAUUAAAUCAAUACUCACCAAUUCUUUAAAGUGUGAGAUAAUUAGUCACAAAUAAUGGUGACUAGUAACCAAAGUCAUUGACCACCCAUUCAAAUGUCACCAAAACUAUUUUGUUGCUAUACAAAUAUGACUAAUGCUUUCUAUUUUGUCGCCGGAUCAAGGCCGUGAAGUUCCGGGUUAAACCGUGAGUUUCCGACGCCGAUUCCAACCACUUGCCGUCCGAAUUGGACUUGGGUGUAGUUGAAUAAAAUGUUCCACUCGUCGAGUAGAACCUGUAGCCGGGAGGGUGGCUUGUAGUUUGGAGAUUUUCCGGUGAAGCUUUAUCGCUUUGGACACCUGCGCUUGUGGCGGCACGUGGGCACUGUAGCAGAGGGGAAUUAUUGUCCCAAUGCAAUCUCCUGGUUGUCACGAGUACGUAGGAAUUCGCGGAUCUCAAUUCGGAUGUCGUUUGACUAUCGAACGGAUUUUCGCAUAGUGUGCGUUAUCCGGGUUCGAUAGGUUAUGACCGUUGGAUCAUUUCCCAAUUAAAUUAUGUUGUUCUAGGUAUUCCUAGGAUCGUGUAGGACUUCGCAGAUCGUGAAUCGGAGCCCGGAUGUUCCAAUUCAAUAACUUAAAGUUUGAGUUUUAUAUUAACCGUCCGAUCGUGCGAUCGUAAGCGAUCUAACCGUCUGUUUUGGACCAAACUUGCGACACGGGUAUCUUAGACCUUGUGGAACCUUUAGGAACUUACGGAUUGUAAAACGGAGGUCGUGGGUCCCGUGGACCCGGUUGACCUGAAUUGGGAAGUUUGACCGCCGGUUGACCGAGUGUCUCCCGAAGUUGUUCUAUCGUCCAAAUUGAGUAGUUGGACCUUAGAAUGUCUCAUUCCUAGUACACUUACUAGAAACUUGGGAAAUUAGGAUAUUUAAUUCAAAGUACUCGUUCGAAACGCUUCGUAUUAAUCUUGUGUACGUAUUCUGAAUUAGGUACUUCGAUCACGCAUACGCAGCAGGCGGGACCCUCUCAGGGUCAAGCAGCGUGGGACUACUUGUGAGUGAACUUUGUUUUCAAAUCUUAUACAUGUUUUUAUUGAUGAAAGAUUUAUGCAUAAUGUUUUUAAUGAUUUAUUGAAUAUAUUAUAUUCAUGGGUUGAAUUUGAUGUUUGUAUAGCGCUUUGUCAAUAUAUUGUGGGUUUGGCAUUGUUGGGUAUUGAAAGCAUAUUUUAUAUGGAUUUUGGGAAAUAUUAUGCAUGAUGUUUUAAACGGUAUUUUGGAUAUAUUAUUUAUGAAAUUGUUGAAAGUGAUAUUUUUAUGAGGCAUUGAAAAUAUAUUUUGGGUUUUGACAUAUUUGAGUAUCUUGAGUAUGAAUAUAUGGAUUUUGAGGAUUUCUAUAUAUAUUUGGCUAUGUGUGAGGUACUUGGGUUGUUGAGAUGAGAUUGUGGAAAGUGGUGAGUAUAGAAUGUCAGUUUGGUGUGAAGCACUACCCUAUGUACCUCCCCUGAUUUGGAACUUGGAUAUAGAGACUUGAGAUACUUGGAAUUGUCGGAACCCGGGGCAUCCUUGACGGGAUGUUGCUGUACACCCUUAAUUGGGUAGUCUGCGCGUGUAGGACUGAUCACAGACGUAUGAGUUUUGAGGUUAUCGACGGUACGUGCUGGCUGAGAGUUGGUCCCCCAGUUGGACGGCUCGUUCCCUAGUCACAUAGUGGAUUGAGGACUUUUCAUGAGGACUCUGCCAAGGUGACUAGUCAAAAAAUCCCCCGGUUCGAUUGUUUCCCCGGUACAACUAGGUGAUGGUCAUAUUUAUAAUAUAUAUAUCUCUUAUAUGAUAUAUUUAUAUAUAUAUAUAUAUAUCUAUUGAUUCAUUCUUGUUUAUCGGUGUGGAUACUUCCUUGCCGGUCUUACCAAUGGGUACGCUUUCGAGAGUUUAGUUGUGAGAUUUAUAAGUUUUGGAUGGUGGGUUUUGUAAAGCGUUCUUUAUGGAUUUUGAACUUCGUAUCUGGUAUUGAUUUGUUUUGAUAUAUAUAUAUUAUAUAUAUAUAUACUUGAGUAUGAUGGUUUUGAGAUGCAUGGGAUUUCUUGCAUGGUUUUCUAAACGGUGGGGUUAUAUUACGUUGGUUUACAUUGAACUGAAGUUAUUUUUGUCCACUCACAAUUUUCUGUUUUGCGCCCCCCAGCCAGUAGUUGACUGAGCUCCGCAGCAGAGCCGGAUCAUGAGCUUCCGAACCUUGAGUCUUCGUAGGACUCUUUCUUCAUGUUUUUCCCUUUGAACUCUGUUUUGUUGAAAUUGAAGUUCUUAGCCAUGCUCUGUUAUCGCCCCUGUUAGGGUUUGAUUUGUGAGGCCGGAGGCCAUUUUGUUGUAAACUGUUUAUUCGCUUUAAAGCAUGCUGCUGGUUGGGAUUAUUCUAUGUUUAUGCAGGUUGAAUUUUUGUUGGGUUUGUUCAAUUCACAGGGGAGACUUUGCCAAAAUUUUGGUAGAGAGUAUGGGUUUUUAGUAAGUGGGCCCGGCAUCGGGAUGAUGUCGGAACAAAGACGGGAUUCGCCCUGGUUUCCGGGAAUUACGUAUAUAAUACAACUUCAAUAUUUAUAUGUAUAUUAUUUCAUUAAAUAUUUAUAUAUACAUAUAUAUGUUCUUUUGAAUAAAAGGGGUUAAAUUAUAUAUUUGUUCAUUAUUUCUUGAGAUGCCAUUAGAUGGUUAUUGGAUGCUUUCUAUACAUAUAUAUUAAUAACAUGGAUUAAGAGUUUAGACGUGGCAUCCUUACAUUGUUUUCUUGGAGAGAAAGACUAUUUCUCUCUUAUCUUAAUUAGGAUGCCGGAUGUGGCUUUUUCCAUUAAAUUAGUUGAUGCAUUACCAUGCAUUUGCACAGCUCAUGCUUACAAUUUGGUGAGUAAGCUUUAUCUUAGCUUCAAUAGGUGUCACAGCCUUUGGAAAUAAAUCUCCUAGCGUUGACACAUAGCAACUUAUAAAAUAGAGUGGCAACCAAGUUAUCUUUUCGUAUAAAUAAGAUAAUGUCCUUUGUUAUUAUCCUCUCCAUUGUUACGCCAUCUCACCACCAAUAAAUAGAAGUUUUAAUGGAAGGAAGAGAUAUCAGGCAAAGGGUAAAGAGAGAGGGAGAGAGAGAUGAUGAUGAUGAAAUUCUUAGAAGAGAUAUAGGAUUUAGCUUGUAUUUUCUUAACUUGGAGAGAGAGAGAUGAUGAUGAAAUUCUUAGAAGAGAUAUAGGACUUAGCUUGUAUUUUCUUAACUUGGAGAAAUGCUUUAGAAUCGAGGUAGGAGUUUCUUGGUGACCUUUUAUAAAGAUUGAUCAAAUUAAAUUUCGUGAGCAUUAUAUCAUGCAUGAUAUUAUUAUUCGAUUAUUAUUGAUAUUGGGUGUUUAAGUGUUGUUAAUUAUCAUAUUAUUUUAUUAAUAUUGACAUGAUCAUAUGUUAUCGGUGAUGGCUGGAAUUCUUGGGUUGAUAAAGAAAGUAUGGAAAAGGGGAUAAUGGGAAGGAUCUUUUGUGUAGUUGAGUCUAACUCUUGGUAAGUACCAGGUCUCAGGGAUCCCGCAGCGCACAUGGUUUUUAUUGGGCGAUUCAGGACUGGCGACAGGGAGUUAGACAAGAUGACUAACGAAAGGGAAAUUAUGGGAUGAUUGAAAUGGGUGUUAGUUCAUACAAAUGGGCAUUCGGGACCAAGUGGUAUAAGCAUGGUAUGGGACGUGCAAAUCUGCUUGUCCAGUUAUAUGAAUUAACAGGAGUAGAUGAAGAGCAUUCAUUCAUGCAUUAUUAUUAAUAAUGUGAUAUUUGGCUGUGUGAUUGCAUGUCACUUAAUUUAGAUAUAUCAAUCUACUGCGGUAAGGUCUCAUGUCCCUACUGAGCGGUGAUUGUUCAUUCCUCACCCUGUUUAAUUUUUCAGAUGAAUUAGUAGGCAAGACAAAGACUAAACCAAUUGAGGCUAAAUUAGAUGAGAGUGAUAGAGCUUUAUUUUUUUAAUUUUAAAGUUGUAAGAUUUUGGGAGCUAUUUUUAUAAGAAAAGUUUAUUUUAUGUUUCAACUUCCUGUUAUUCUAUUUUACUUUUUAUUUUCUCAUGCACUAGGCACGAGGUUUCCACUAACCCCCAGGUCCGAGGCGUGACAGAAUGGUAUAAGAGCUUUAGGGAUUAAAUACCCUUGGGAACUGUGGUAUAGUAUUACCACAAAGUAAAUUUGAAUUGGUGAAGUAAGUUAGUGACCUAACUUUUCAGGAGCAUAUUUCUUUUUAUGAUUAAGUGUAGUUUACGUAAUAAUUGUUUAGUAUUGUUUUAUAUAUGUUGGUUUAAUUUGGUAGAAAUAUUUGGUAAAGGUUCAAUUGUUAAGAUAGCUAGAGUAGAUGGGAAACGUGACAAUGAUAAGAAUGGUAGCAUGAGGGUAAUACUAACCAUUCAGGAUAUGGCCUUUGCAAUACGUGAAACGAAUCAACAAAACCAAGAACCCCAUCAAGAGAUUCAAGGUGGUCAAACAAUGAGUGUUAAAGGAGAAAGAUAAAUGAACAAAGAGUUCUAGGAAAUCUGAAAGUGGCUAUUGCUUCUACCUAUUUGGGAGGAGCAAGGAGACCAGAAUAACUCACUCAAGGACAUGUGUAUGCUAUUGGACAAGUGACAAAGCAAAAUGAACCUACUAUGGUAGAAGGUACAUUUCUAGUUUACAACUCAUGGGCUAAGAUAUUGUUUGACCGGUGCUACAAAUUCAUUCAUCUCUAUUUCGUUUGCGUUUAUUCUUGGAUUAGAAUAUGAAUUUAUGAAAUCUUCAUUAAUGGUUGGAUCUCCAUUGGGUAAAUGUGUCGAAGUUAAUAAGGUGUGUAGAUCUUACAUAAUAGAGAUAUCAUAUCAUAAAAUUGUUGUUGACCUUAUGAUAUUGGAAUUAAUGGAGUAUGAUGUAAUAUUAGGGAUGGACUUGACCCAAUUUAAAGCUAUUUUUGAUUGUGGUAGAAAGAUGGUGACUAUGACUCUUAGCGAGGGAAAACAUGUAGUUUCUAUGGAAGUAGGAAUACUCACAUCAAUCUUGGAUAAUGGAAAUUGUAAUUAUUUGAGAUUGAUUGCUCACAUGGUCACUGAGGAUCUAAGUAAUACCAAGCUUGAGCUUAUCCCAAUAGUGAAAGAUUUCGGUGAUGUUUUCCCAGAAGAAUUAUAUGGAAUCCCCCUAGAAAUGGAGUUUUUCUAUAGAUAUUUAUCCUGGCAUGUCACCUAUAUCUAUACCUCCACAUUGAAUGGCACCAAUAGAGUUGAAGGAACUCAAAACACAACUUCAAGAACUUGAAAGUAAAGGUUUUAUUCGUCCUAGUACCUUACCAUGGGGGUUUUUUCUCCAUUCUUUGUGAAGAAAAGUGAUGGAAGUUGUAACACCCCGACCUCAAAUUUAACCUUUAUUUAAUUAUUUAAUUAUUUAAGGGCAUUUUGGUCAUAUUUUUAACCGGAGAGAGUUUGGGGCAGUGACUAUGUCACAUCCCGGGAUCAACUCCGUCGUAGCACGAUAUUGUCUGCUUUGGGCCCCCCCUCUCUGGCCCUCACGGUUUUGUUUCUGGGAGCUCACGAGCAACUUCCCAGUGGGUCACCCAUCCUGGGAUUGCUCUGGCCCCCAACUCGCUUAACUUCGAAGUUCCUACGACUUCGAAGCCAGUGAGCUCCCAAAAGGCCUCGUGAUAGAUGGAUGCGGGUGUGCACAUAUAAGGCACAUCGCCCCCUCUCCGUUGGUUGAUGUGGGAUCUUACAAUCCACCCCCCUCAAGGGCCCGACGUCCUCGUCGGCACACUCACACCACACGGCAGAGUGGCUCUGAUACCAAAUUGUCACAUCCCGGGAUCAACUCCGUCGUAGCACGAUAUUGUCCGCUUUGGGCCCCCCCUCUCUGGCCCUCACGGUUUUGUUUCUAGGAGCUCACGAGCAACUUCCCAUUGGAUCACCCAUCCUGGGAUUGCUCUGGCCCCCAACUUGCUUAACUUCGAAGUUCCUACGACUCCGAAGCCAGUGAGCUCCCAAAAGCCCUCGUGCUAGAUGGAUGCGGGUGUGCACAUAUAAGGCACAUCGCCCCCUCUCCGUUGGUUGAUGUGGGAUCUUACAGACUAGUAUUUUUAGAUAGGUCGUACUGAGACGAGUUCAUAGACAUGUAGUGGGCUCGAAUCGGAGUUCUAACGAGAGAGAUAUGGUCAAAAGAAGCCCAGUGGCACAAUCGUAAAUAUUUCAAAAUGGGAUUUUUUUUAUAAAAACUCAGAUUUUUUUUUCUCUCUCUCUCUCUCUCUCUCUCUCUCUCCCGCGGGUGUCUCUCUCCUCUCUCUCGCGCGCGACGGCAGCUGGCCACGUUUUGGCCGGCCGUGCUCUCCUCCGGCCACCAAUGACGACGGGACCGGUACCAAAAUGACCGGGCCGUCGUCCUCUCGAGCUGCUCUAGCUGAUGGUUGGGUAGGAUUAGAUCGAUUCUUAGCGUAGACAAUUCGAUUUUCGAAUUGAAAUUCGGCCGGUUUUGGGAUCGCGAUUCCGGCCACUUCCGGUCAGUUUUUGGGGUAGGUCCAAGAACAAAAGUGGCUCCAAAUAGGGUGUUAUACCUAGGGUAGGAGUUUUGAGCUGUGGUUUUGAGAUUUUCCGGCGAAGCCGUUAUCGCUUUGGGCACCCACGCGCUGCCGGCGCGUGCGGCGGCGUGUGGGCACUGUAGAAAAAGUAGCAAUGUGUUCCGAUGAGAUCCUUAGGUUGUCACGAGUGCGUAGGAUUUCACGGAUCUCAAUUCGGACGUCGUUUGACUAUCGAACGGAUAUUCGCAUAUUGCGCGUUAUCCAGGUGCGAUAGGUUGGGGCCGUUGGAUGGACCCAAAUUUAAUAUAUGUUGAUCUAGGUAUUUCUAGGAUCGUGUAGGAAUUCACGGAUUGUGAAUCGGAGCCCCGGAUGUUCCGAAAAAUAAUUUUAAAGUUUAUAUUUUAUAUUAACCGUCAGAUCGUGCGAUCGUGAGCGAUCCGACCGUCCGAUCUGAACCAAACUUGCAGGACAAGAUUCCUAUACCUGGUAGAACCCAUAGGGACUCUCGGAUCGAAAAUUGGAGGUCGUGGGUUCCGCAGGUCCUUUUGACCAGGGUUAGAGUAGUUUGACCCUUGGUUGACCGUGAGUCUCCCGGAGUAAUCUCACCUUUCUAGGGGAGAUUAUCGGGUACUAGAUUAUUGUGGAGGGUUACACAAUAUUAGAAUUAAUUUAUAUAUUUAUAAUUAUAAUAUGUUUGUACAAGAGUACAAAAGAGUCUAGACUGUCAGUUUGGAGUGCUAUACCCACUACUUUAGGUACCUUCCCAAAUUUUGGAUUCACUACAAGCACCACCAAGUGAAAGUUAGGUCUCACAUGGCGUAGGUUAUCCGGCGUUAAGACAGGCCCCAUACGUGGCGUUGGUUGUACCGGCGUAUGGGGAGAUAUUGUGAUAUUGUGUUGAGAUCGCACGUGGCGUAGGUUAUCCGGCGUGUCGACAGACCCCAUACGUGGCGUUGGUUGUACCGGCGUAUGGGGAGAUUUUUGAUAUGAUAUUGAGGUCCCGCGUGGCGUAGGUUAACCGGCGUUGGGACAUGCCCCAUACGUGGCGUUGGUUGUACCGGCGUAUGGGGAGAGAUGUGAUAUGAUGUGCAGGUUUCGCGUGGCGUAGGUUAUCCGGCGUUGUGACAGAUCCCAUACGUGGCGUUGGUUGUACCGGCGUAUGGGGAGAUAUUAUGAUAGUAUGGCAUGGUCGCACGUGGCGUAGGUUAUCCGGCGUGUUGACAGGCCCCAUACGUGGCGUUGGUUGUACCGGCGUAUGGGGAGAUAUUAUAUGAAAUACAAAGAAAUGAAAUAAGGUAUCGCCCAAGUGUGGAAUUAGGUUUUAUGGAAGAACUACGUGUGGCUUGAUCCCUCAAGGAGGGUACGUAGGCAGCCUAAGGUUAUUAGCUGCAGCCGCAGACUAAAUAUUAGUCAUAAUUGGUAUUUGAAUUGUUUGGUAGUUGGUUAAGAAUUAUUGGAAGGCCGAAGGCCAUUUGUGCGAAUUGCAUGAAAUUAUAUUGUGCAUGCUGCCAGUUGGGAAUAUUAAAUGUGUUUUCAUGCAGGUAUAAAUUUUGGGAAAUGUCCAAUUUAUAGGGGAGACUCUGCCGAAUUUUCGGCAGGAAGUCUCGGUUUUGAGUAUUUGGGCCUGAUAUCGGGAGGAUGUCGGGAAUUUCAAAGGGUUCGCCUCGAGUUCUGAAAAAUUCGGAGCGGGUCCUUUCAGAAGUCUUAGGAUGUGUUUUGUUGCAAGCUAACAAAGUAGUUGCAUACGACUUUUGUCAAUUGAAAUGACAUGAAAAGAAUUAUCUAACACAUGAUCUAGAAUUGGCAACCAUUGUUCACACACUGAAGAUAUGGAGAUAUUAUUUGUAUGGGGAACGUUUUGAACUCUUUUUGGAUCAUAAGAGUUUGAAGUAUUUAUUGACUUAGAAGGAGUUGAAUUUAAGACAAAAGCGAUGGAUGGAAUACCUGGAAGAUUAUGAUUUUGACUUACAUUAUCUUCCAGGAAAGGCUAAUGUGGUAACAGAUGCUUUAAGUCAAAAUCCUCAAGGAAUUGUAGCAAGUUUGUAUGAUCAAAGGUGGAAGAUGGUGGAGUCUCUUUACGAUUUUGACCUAUAUAUAGGUGCGCAUGAGGAUUGUGCAUAUCUAUGUAAUUUGGUAACUCACCCCACUUUGAUUGGAAGAAUAAUUGAGGCACGGGAUUUGGAUUCUAUGUCUGAAGACAUUCGAACUAAGAUUACAACUAGAAAGACACAGGAAGGAUGGAGUAUCCUCACAAGCAGUGGAUUAAGAUAUUUGAAUAAGUUUUAUGUACCAAAUAUUUCUGAUAUAAGAAAUGAAGUUCUCAGAGAAAGUCAUCAUUCACCUAUACAAUUCAUUCUAGAGGGACAAAGAUGUAUCGUGAUUUUAGACGUAAUUUUUGGUGGAGUAGUAUGAAGGGAGGUGUAGAAAUAUUUGCAGCAAAAUGUCUAACAUGUUAGCUGGUGAAAACUGAAUAUCAGAAACCGUCAAGUCCAUUACAGCCAUUACCAGUAGUAGAAUGGAAAUGAGAUCAUAUAACAAUGAAUUUUGUUACAGGUUUACCUAAAUAUCCAAAAGGACGUGAUGCAAUAUGGAUUAUGGUGGAUCGUUUGACCAAAUCUGCACAUUUCAUACCAGUCAAAUCAAUGGAUUCCACUAAAAAUCUUGGAAAGCUUUACGUUAGAGAUAUAGUAAGAUUACAUGGAAUUCCUAUUUUGAUUGUAUCGGAUAGAGAUUCCAAGUUUACUUCUAAAAUUUGGGGAAGCUUACAGAAAGUGUUAGGUACGCAACUAAAUUUGGUACCGCCUUUUAUCCCCAAACUUAUGGACAAUUGGAGAGAACUAUUCAAAUUUUAGAGGACUUGUUGAGAGCAUGUAUUCUAGAUUUGGAGGGAAGUAGUUGGGAAGAUCAUUUAGUGGUAGUAGAGUUUGCCUACAACAACUAUCAGUCUAGCAUUCAGAUACCACCUUAUGAAGCUUUAUAUUGAAGACCUUGUCAAUCACCUGUGUGUUGGACUGAAGUAGGAGAAACUGUAUUGCUAGGACCUGGUUUGGUACAAGAGACAACUGAAGGGAUUAAAGUUAUCAAGCAACGUCUUUUAACUACUCAAAGUUGACAAAAGAACUAUGUAGACCGAAGAAGGAAAACAUUAAGUAUUGACGUGGGUGAUUAUGUAUUUCUUAAACUCUCACUACUAAGUGGAGUAAAAAAAGGUUUGGGAAGACUGGAAAAUUAUCACCAAAGUUUGUUGGACCAUUUGAAAUCUUAGAAAGGAUGGGUGAAGUAGCUUAUAAGUCAGCAUUACCACCUCAACUGUUGAAUGUACCUGAUGUUUUCCUUGUUUCUAUGCUUCGAAAGUAUGAGCCUGAUCCAACCCAUUUUCUAGAUUGAGGAGAGCUCAAUUUAGAUGAGGAACUGUCAUUUGAAGAAAGACCGACUCAGAUUUUGGAUUCUAAGGAACAAGUGUGACGUACGAAAAUAAUACCAUUGGUCAAAAUUCUUUGGGUACAUGGGAAUACAUUGGAAGCUACAUGGGAAUUAGAAACUAAAAUGUGUAAGAAGUACCCAUAAAUUUUUCCCUUAUUCCAGUUUUUCUUUUUAACUCGAAAUUUCUUUAAGGAGAGUAGAUUGUGAGAGUCUGUUUCUUAAAUGUUCAUUAAAGAAAAAUAAAUGUUAUUAUAUAUUCUUAAGUAAUUAUCUUGCUAAGAAGGAAAUGUAUAUUUAUAAUUGUUUUACGUUUAUAAUACCAUUUCAAUAGUUAUGUGUAUAUUAUUUCAUUAAAUAUUUAUAUAUACAUAUGUUCUUUUGAAUAAAAAGGGUUAAAUUAUAUAUUUGUUCAUUAUUUCUUGGGAUGCCAUUAGAUGGUUAUUGGGUGCUUUAUAUACAUAUAUAUUAAUAACAUGGAUUAACAGUUUAGACCUGGCAUCCUUACAUUGUUUUCUUGGAGAGAAUGACUGUUUCUCUCUUAUCUUAAUUUGGAUGCUGGAUGUGGUUUUUUCCAUUAAAUUAGUUGAUGCAUUACCAUGCAUUUGGACAGCUCAUGCUUACAAUUUGGUGAAUAAGUCUAUCUUAGCUUGAGGUGGAGUUUAUAAUUUCAAUAGGUGUCACAGCCUUUGGAAAUAAAUCUCCUGGCGUUGACACAUAUAUAGCAACUUAUAAAAAAGAGUGGCGACCAAGUUAUCUUUUUGUAUAGAUAAGAUAAUGGGCUUUGUUAUUAUCCUCUCCACUGUUACCGCCAUCUCACCACCUAUAAAUAGGAGUGUUAAUGAAAGGAACAUAUAUCAUGCAACAUGAGAGAGAGAGAGAGAUAUGAUGAUGAUGAUGAAAUCCUUGGAAGAGAUUAGGACUUAACUUGUAUUUUCUUAACUUAGAGAUAUGUUUUGGAAUCGAGAUAGGAGUUUUUUGGUGACCUUUUACAAAGAUUGAUCUAAUUAAAUUUUGUGAGCACUAUUGUUCACCCGUGUUCGUGUUUAACUCCUGAUGUGGAAGGGCGAAGUUCCCCACUGGCUUGAAGACCACUUGCUGGUCGACAAGUCAGCUUUCUUUGGUGUGUGAGCGUGCCACUGCUAGCAAUGUAGAUUCUAGCAGACUUAUUUUGAAAGUGGAUAACUUGCGCCUCAAGUUACUGGCUUCUAAAACAAAACGAUUGUGAAUUUGGGUGAGGAAUAUCUCCCAAGUAAGUUCUUUUCUUGCCUCAGACUGGUGAGGACUUUCAUAAUUUAUCUCAGUAUCAAAUGGUUGUUCUGGCCAGAAUGGAUAAUAAUAAAGUACUAUUUUCAGGCAGAACUCCCUUUUACAAAAUUAAGCAGGGAGAAACCGACUCUAGAAAGGCAAAAAGAUGGCUGAAACUCCAUUUCUGCCUGGGUGGAAACUUCUAAUCCGGGCUGGACUGGGCAUGUCUACGCUGGACUGUACUGUCGACAACUUUAGCUUCUUGGCUUCAGCUGUAAAUCGAUACCAAAGUUCAAUUUUGGCAGAGCUUCAAUCUACUUCAAGCCUUGGGAGACUUUUGAGCGGGCAGAACUGCGACUUCUUCAGUUUGAAGGGACAGAAGUGGCUAUUCGUAUUCAGCAAGCUGGAACUAUGCUAUAAAAUUUGUUGAGGUUUUCAUAUUUGUGAAAACUCAAACUGUGUUUGUCUUGGCUGUUGCUAAACCAAACUUGUAACGAGAGGGAUCUCGCUUUCAGAGGACUUAUUUUCUAAGUCUGAACUUCGGAAUUCUGAUCUAAAGCUGGUUUUCUUUGGAUCCAAGUGAGCUUUUUCUUGUUUGUUUUUUGUGAUUGAUUGAUGCAUUGAGUGUCCUUUGUUCCUUUGCCUACUUUCGUUUUUAUAAGAGACCCUCCUGGGGAGGUGAUUUUUAAUCCUAAAUAAUGGGCGGCAAAAAGAUCUCUUAUAAUAUAAAGUAAGAAGGAUUUCUUAUCAAUCAAGACAGAUAGGUUCUGAGCAGUCACCUCCUAAAGCAGUCUCUUGCCUGGUUUCCUGGGUGGCAGUUUCUAAUUCAAACCACCGCCACCAUCUGUGUAGGCUUUUUAUGGCGGUUUGGCUUUUUCUUUUAUAUUUUCUGAAUGGUUCCCUAUUUCCCGUUCUAAUUUAGAAAGCGUGAUCCGUGAAUCCCUGGGGGGGUGGUGCAUCGAUUUGGAGCAAAAUCUUGAACAUAGAUGGGUUUUUUGAUCUUCAAUUGGCAGUGUUUCAGAGACGUCCCUUUCAUAUUUUUAAAUUUCAGUCGGUAUUGCUGACUUUUCUAAAGCUGAGGCAAUCACGUGGGUGUGUUUUUGAUCCCUUGGGUCUGAACCUAAUCAAUAAUUCAUGGGCUGAUCUUUUGAAGCCCAUCUUGUCAGUUUCCUCUUUGGGCCUUUCUUUGGGCUGAAGCUUUGUUUUCAACAUUCUUGGUGUGAAGCCCAAUCUGUCUGGAUCCUAUUUUGUUUUUCUCAAGUUUUCGGGCUGGGCAGGCAAUUUCAUCAUGGGCUUGUCUCUUGGUUUUUGGUGUGCCGAAUUUUGGGCCCAAACAAUGCCCCCAUUAAGUCUGAAUCGUUUUUUGGACGGUUUUAGACUUAAUGUUUUGCCAUUUAAUUCGCGCACCAGUUUCUUCCGUCUUUUCGCCCACGUCUGCCAUGUUUGCUUGCUACGAACUAGAGUUCGUGGGAAAACGGCUAGUUAUUAGCUAGUUACUAGCUAAUAAUCAUCAGGUGCCGUCCCAUCUUCUUCUUCCCACGUUUUCGAGCCCCUCUUUAAAAGAAAUUCAAAUUCAUAGCCUCUGAAAACCCUAAACCUUCCAACUCUUAUUCCUGCGAGCUUCUUUCGAGAUCUCCAUAUCUUUCUUCAAACCUCUCCUUCUUCUGUUUCUGCCUUUGAAUCAGAAAUGUCUUCCCCAAGGUCCCGUGCUCAAUCCUCUUCCGCUCCAAUUCCUCCCGAUUAUAUCACUGGGAGCGGGAUUAAUGCUCACGCGAUAGAAAUCAGGAGCAAGCUUCAUCCCUUUGCCCAGAAGAAUCUGGACGAGAAUGUCCUCCAUUUGUUCGAGAAUACCCUGGUGUUAGGGCCUCACUGGUUUGGUCCUGUUCCAGCUGAGAUGGCAGAACUGCUAAAAAAGGAUGCCGAGGCUCCUUUGUGUUUUGAGAGCUCUUCUGCCCUGGCCUAUCAUUCUUGGGUUAGCAAGAAUUUGAGUCGAUCUUUCCCGUCCAGCGAGGUGAGGAACAGUUCCGUCAAAUGGGCAGACUGGAUUGACAGACUUCUCCCGAGAUAUGGGGGUCACUGGAGGAGAGCUGGGAUUUAUGACGCCAUUCUUCUGUCCAAACAGUCGAUUAACAGAGAUGAGAACCUGCUUGCUGCUGCCCUGUGUUUUUGGAAUUCUGCCAGCAACACAUUUGAUUUCCGUGUGGGUCCCAUGGCUCCAACUCUGCUGGAUAUGGCUCAGAUUUUUGGGUUUAGGCCCCAUGGCAGACCUGUUGAUGCUGUUGGGGACUAUCACAGGCGAAAGAACCAAGAGAAAGUGGCUACCCCCUUCACUGUCUCCCCAGCCACGAUCAACCAGAACUGUUCUUUCUCCAAUUAUCUGAAGAGAUUCAGUGCUGAGAAGGACAAAGAUCAGCAACAUAUGUUGUUCCUUCUAUAUUGGCUGAACCGAUUUGUCUUCCCCAAUCGGUCUUCGGCAGUUCUGCUUGAGUAUAGACAUCUGGCAAAAGCUCUUCACAAUCACACUGAUGUGGGGCUUGGACCAACAGUUCUGGCCCACCUUUUCAAGAAUCUGCAUACUGCCACUCUGGAAAAUCCGCUGAACCUGUCUGCCCCUGGCGCAUUCUGGAUGAUCCAGAUCUGGCUGCAGGUAUAUUUCCCUGAGUUAAGGUUCCCAGACAUAGUUCUGCCUGAAAACCAAGUUCUGGCUCUUCCCCUGAUGUCUGCAGAAGUGCCUAAGCGCUCUCUUGAGGAGUAUUUGAUGUUCUUCAGGCAUUGUACCAAGAGGUCGGCUGCUCAGUGGCAAGUGGUGAUCAGAAGGACCUAUCCCUGGUUCCAGACUGUAUUUUGGCUUUUUGAGAAGGAGCCAGAAGAUGAGGCUGCCAGAACAGACUUUAGGAAGAAGUUCUUGAGCAUUACUCUGCCUAGAGAUCUGCCUCAUGGUGGGGGCAAACCUCCAAACUAUCAUCUGGGGGCAGAAGUCUAUCAUCCUAACUUCUGUGCAAGGCAGCUUGGCUGUCCUCAGCUUAUUCCGCUGAAAUCAUAUCGUAGUUGCAAUCGGGCCUCUUCUUGGAGGGAUGCAGAUGAUCUGGAGGUGCACAAGGAUGCCCGGUGUGCAGUGAAUAAGAUCAACAAUAGCACGGAUGCCCUCUAUCCCUCGUGGGAACCAAAUUCCUGCAGUUCCGCCGAUUUUGAUGCCUGGUGGCACGCCAGAUUCCAGAGUCUGCCGGCUUCUGUCACUGCUCUCAAAGUGCUUUUUGAUGGUUGGGAGAAUUGGCACACUUUUGCGGAUGGGGAUGCUAGAGCGCACCUGAUCCAGACCAUCAAAGAUAUCAAUGCGCAGAUCAUAGAAGGUAGACAUCUAAUUCUGUCUGUGAUUUUGUUCUGUCUUGGUUGUCGAUCUCUAACAUAUGUUCUGCCUGUUUUAGAUCCUUCUUUGACCAGCGUAGGUGGGCAAUCUGUUCAUGCUGGAGAAGUGAUUGGUAAGUCUUUUUCUUUUAGUUCUAUUCUAUCCCUUCCAGCUGGAUUGGUUUCUAAUGUCUAAUGCCUUGGUGCAGUCUCUUCUGUUAUUGCUGCCGGGGACUUGGAGCUCCCCUCUGCAGAUGAAGGAGAUGAGGUCCAGACAGAACAAACACCUGCCGAGGCCGCUCUUUCUGCCAGAAGAAAAAGGAAAGGGCCUGCCCUUCCUUCGGACAAUAUCAUUCGGCCUGGUAUUUCAGGUAAGCUCAUGAUGUUCCAACCAUUUUUUUAUUCUGUCUUGCCUUCUUUUCCCUAAUACUGCUUUUCUGUGCAGCUGGAAGUCCUUCCCCUCCUCCUACCAAGUUGAAAAAACUUAGAAAGAAGAGUGAGGAGGAGUAUGUCGCUGCAGAAGAAACGGCAGCAGUCCCCACCACUACCUCUAGGACGGAUGAAGAGCUGCGAGAGGCUUUUGAGGAGGUGGAGCAAGAAAAAGAAUUGGAAGAGCUGGAAGAAACGCCUCAGAACAAAACGGCAGUGGUGGAAGAAGAGGUAAGUUUUAUUUCGAUGAUUCGCAUCAGUUCCCUUCUUGCCCUGUUUCUUUCGUUCUGACCCCCAUUUUGUAGGAGGAGAUUCUUGCUGAGGUGAUUGCAGAGAGCAUUGCCUUGGCGCAGAAGCAACAAGGGGGUCCAAGGGCUGAGCUGACUAGCUCAGAACUAGCCCUAUUUGAGGAUGCCGAUGAGGAUGCCGAGGCAGAGCAUUCUACUGCCGUUCCAGCGGCUGAGGAUCAGGCGGAACGGUCUGCAUCAGACCCUGUGGACCAGGCAGAAUUAACUGUUGUGGUUCCGGAGGCUGAGGUGGGAACGACUGCAGCUGCUCCUGUGGUUGUGGUAAUUUUCCUCCUUGAUUGUUCAUGUUUUUCUGCUGUUCUGUCUGUUCUAACAGUUGUAGUCUUUCUAGGUGGAAGUGCCUAAGGCUACUGGUGCUCUGGCUGCGGUAUCCAGCCCCCUGAAACCUCCCAUUGUCGCUGUAAGUUUUCAUAACUUUUGAGCCUCCUUUAUCUUCCACUUUCUGCCUGGUCUUAACUUAUGUUCUCUUCUGCAGAUGCCUAUUCAUUCCUUUCCAGGAUCAUCUGCCACGGCUUCUUUUGCUGAUCCAGAGCUGGAAGAGUUUGAAGCCAUGGAUCUGGAUGCUCAACUGGAGAGGCUGGAGAAACUCAGCUCUCCUCCGAGCAAGGCAAAAUCUAGAGCAGUGCAAGAGGCCAUGGAGAGGUUAAGAAUCUGGCAGUCGACUGAGCUGGAAUUUGAUGAAGAUACAGGGGCUCUAGAUCAGCUGAUGAAGGACCUGGACCUGCUGCAUAGACAGAACAUGGCUCCGAGGCCUAUUCUUGAGAUGGGCCUAAGCCUGGCCAGAGAUGUGCUUAAUCUGCAUGAUCGCUAUGAAGAUCUUAGGCCUACGUUCAAAACUUCUGAGUUCUGUAAGGCCACACAUGAAGCCAAUCUGGCUGACUUUGCUAGGCAGAAAACAGAACUGGAUCAGAUGGUGGCCGGAUAUAAGGAGGCCAAGGCUACCGCGGAUAAGUUGGAGAAGCAGAUUGAAGAACUUCAAAAACAACUGGCAGAGUGUAGGGAGGUGCAGAACAAACUUGGGGCUGGACUGAGUUCGAAAACCAAAGCCACCUUCCUUGUGCAGAGAAUGGUUGCAGCUUCCAGGCCAGCUUUGGAAAUCGCAGAAGCCUCGAUUCAUCAAGGAGUGCUGCUCCAGAAAGAACUCUCUGUCAAGAAGGCGAAUCUGCAGGAAACCCUUAGAAAAUUAGGGUUUUAGUUUUUCAUUUCUGUUUAUUUAUUUUUUUGGACAAAUUUGCCGCUAUGGUGGCUAUUUUUAAAUAAAGUUUGUUCUGCUUUCCUUUUAAAUAGCAUUUUACUAUUUUCAUUUACCCUUGACGUAAUAAACAAAACAAUACUGUGAAAGUAGAAACGAAACAAUCUUUAAAGCAAAAAUGGAUUCAAAAAAAAAAAAAAGAAAAGUCAGCCUUGUUCUUUUUCUAUCCCGGGGUCUGUCUGUACAGCUUGUGAAUCCCACAUGGUUGGGUAGAAUUUUUUUAACCAUUUGCCAUUGAUUGGGACGUUGUGAAUAACUCCAUCUCUGUCCUGCAACCUGUUCACCCGUUUUCGUGUUUAACUCCUGAUGUGGAAGGGCGAAGUUCCCCACUGGCUUGGAGACCACUUGUUGGUCGACAAGUCAGCUUUCUUUGGUGUGCGAGCGUGCCACUGCUAGCAAUGUAAAUUCUAGCAGACUUAUUUUUAGAGUGGAUAACUUGCGCCUCAAGUUACUGACUUCUAAAACAAACGAUUGUGAAUUUGGGUAAGGAAUAUCUCCCAAGUAAGUUCUUUUCUUGCCUCAGACUGGUGAGGACUUUCACAAUUUAUCUCAGUACCAAAAAAUGGUUGUUCUGCCCAGAAUAGAUAAUAAUAAAGUACUGUUUCAGGCAGAACUGCCUUUUACAAAAUUAAGAAGGGAGAAAUCAACUCUAGGAAGGCAAAAGGAUGGCUGGAAUCCCAUUUCUGCCUGGGUAGAAACUUCUGAUCCGGGCUGGACUGGGUAUGUCUAUGCUGGACUGUACUGUCAACAACUUUAGCUGCUUGGCUUCAGCUGUAAAUCGAUACCAAAGUUCGAUUUUGGCAGAGCUUCAAUCUACUUCAAGCCUUGGGAGGCUCUUGAGCGGGCAGAACUGUGACUUCUUCAGUCUGAAGGGACAAAAGUGGCUAUUCUCGAGGAUUUAGCAAGCUGGAACCAUGCUGUAAAAUUUGUUGAGGUUUUCAUAGUUGUGAAAACUCAAACUAUGUUUGUCUUGGCUUUUGCUGAACCAAAUUUGUAACGAGGGAUCUCGUUCUAGGAAAUUUGUUUUCUAAGUCUGAACCUUGGAAUUCUGAUUUAAGGUUGGUUUCUCUUGGAAUUUAAGUGAGCUCUUGGCUGUUUUUCUUGCUGUUGUUUUUUUGGUUGAUGAGUUGAGUGUCCUUUCUUUCUUGCCUGCUUCUGUUUUUAUAAGAGACCCUCCUUUUGAAGGUGGUUUUAAAUUUUAAUAAUGGGCGGCAAAAGAUUUCUCAAAACGUAAAGUAGGAAAGAUUUUUAUCAAUUAUGGCAGAUAGACUCCCAGUGGUCACUUCCUAUAGCGAUCCCUUCCCUGGUUUCCUGGCUGACGGUUUUUCUAUUUUAAUGCCACCGUCUGUGUGAGCUGAUCCUAUGGCGGUUUUGAUUUUUCUUUUGUAUUUUCUGAACAACUCCCUGUUUCUUGCUCUUGAAAACGUGAUUUGCGAAAUCUUUUUAGAAGAUGGUGUGUUGCUUUGGAGCAAAAAGUCUCUGAUCAUAGACGCCCCUUUGAUUUUUCUUUCUCGGCUGUUUUCAGAAACGUCCCUUCUCACAUAAAAACUCUAGUUGGAAUUGCUGACUUUCCAGAGAGGUGAGGUAGCCACGUGAAUGUGUCUUUAGUCUCUUGGGCUUGAGUUUAAACAAUAUUUUGUGGGCUGAUCUUCAAAGGCCCAAUAUGACAGCUUUCUACGUUUUGGGUUUUUUGGGACUGGAUAAGUAUUUCACCACGGGCCUGUUUCUGGAUCUCUUUGGUGUGUCAAAUUUAGGCCCAAACAAUGCCCCCAUUAAGUCUGAACUUGUUUUUGGAACGGUUUUUCAGACUUAAUGGGUUUUGCCAUGAAUUUGCGCGCCAGUCCUUUCCGCUUCGUGCGUCUGUCACGUCCGCCCAUAAUGAUCUAGAGUUCGUGGGAGAAGAAAAACGGCUAUUUAUUUGGCUAGUUACUAGCCAAUAAUCACCAGCUGCCGUAUCUUCUUCUUCCUCUCACGUUUCGAGCCUUCCCUUUUAAAAAGAAAUUUCAGACCCACUGCCUCUUAGCCUUUCAAACUUGGAACUUCUCUUCGGGUUUUCAUCGUUUCCUUCGAACUUCCCCCUUUUCUCUCUGCUUCCUUCCUUGAAUCCGAAAUGUCUUCCCUAAGGUCCCAUGCUCAGUCUUCUUCAGCUUCAAUCCCUCCUGAUUACAUCACUGGGAGCGGGAUUGAUGCCCACGCAAUAGAGGUUAGGAGCAAGCUCCAUCCUUUUGCUCAGAAGAAUCUGGAUGAAAAUGUUCUUCAUUUGUUCUAGAAUACCCUGGUGCUGGGGUCUCACUGGUUUGGCCCUGUUCCGGCUGAGGCGGCAGAACUGCUGAAAAAGGACGCCGAGGCUCCUUUGUGCUUCGAGAGUACUUCCGCCCUGGCUUCUCAUUCUUGGGUUAGCAAGAAUUUGAGUCGAUCUUUCCCGUCCAGCGAGGUGAGGAACAGUCCAGUCAAAUGGGCAGACUGGAUUGACAGACUUCUCCCGAGAUAUGGGGGUCACUGGAGGAGAGCUGGGCUCUAUGACGCCAUUCUUCUGUCCAAGCAGUCGAUUAACAGAGAUGAGAACCUGCUUGCUGCUGCCUUGUGUUUUUGGAAUUCUGCCAGCAACACAUUUGAUUUCCGUGUGGGUCCCAUGGCUCCAACUCUGCUGGACAUGGCUCAGAUUUUUGGGUUUAGGCCCCAUGGCAGACCUGUUGAUGCUGUUGGGGAUUAUCACAGGCGAAAGAACCAAGAGAAAGUGGCCACUCCCUUCACUAUCCCUCCAGCCACGAUCAACCAGAACUGCUCCUUCUCCAACUAUCUGAAGAGAUUCAGCGCUGAGAAGGACAAGGAUCAGCAACAUAUGUUGUUCCUUCUGUAUUGGCUGAACCGAUUUGUCUUCCCCAAUCGGUCUUCGGCAGUUCUGCUUGAAUACAGACAUCUGGCAGAAGCACUUCACAAUCACACUGAUGUGGGGCUUGGACCAACAGUUCUGGCCCACCUUUUCAAGAAUCUGUAUACUGCCACUCUUGAGAAUCCAUUGAACCUGUCUGCUCCUGGCGCAUUCUGGAUGAUCCAGAUCUGGCUGCAGGUAUAUUUCCCCGAGUUAAGGUUUCCAGACAUAGUUCUGCCUGAAGACCAAGUUCUGGCCCUUCCCCUGAUAUCGGCAGAAGUGCCCAAGCGCUCUCUUGAGGAGUAUUUGAUGCUCUUCAGGCAUUGUACCAAGAGGUCGGCUGCUCAGUGGCAAGUGGUGAUCAGAAGGACCUAUCCUUGGUUCCAGACUGGAUCUCGGCUUUUCGAGAAAGAACCAGAAGACGAGGCUGCCAGAACAGAUUUCAGGAAGAAAUUUCUGAGCAUUACUUCGCCCAGAGAUCUGCCCCAUGGCGGGGGCAAACCUCCAAACUAUCAUCUGGGGGCAGAAGUCUAUCAUCCCAACUUUUGUGCAAGGCAGCUUGGCUGCCCUCAGCUCAUACCGUUGAAAUCAUAUCGGAGUUGCAAUCGGGCCUCUUCUUGGAGGGAUGUAGAUGAUCUGGAGGUGCACAAGGAUGCCCGGUGUGCAGUGAACAAGAUAAAUAAUAGCACGGAUGCCCUCUAUCCCUCAUGGGAGCCAAAUUCCUGCAGUUCUGCUGAUUUUGACGCCUGGUGGCAAACCAGAUUCCAAAAUCUACCAGCUUCUGUUACUGCCCUCAAGACGCUUUUUGACGGUUGGGAGAACUGGCAUCUUUUUGCGGAGGGGGAGGCCAAAGUGCAUAUGAUCCAGACCAUCAAGGACAUUAAUGCACAAAUCAUAGAAGGUAGAUACUUGAUUCUGUCUGGGACUUGUUCUGUCUUGAUAAUCUAUUUUUAACCUAUGUUCUGCCUGUUAUUAGAUCCUUCCCUGACAAAGAACGUGGGUGGACAGUCUGUCCAGGCUGGAGAAGUGAUUGGUAAGCCUUUCCUUUUUAAUUUUCUUCUGUCUUUUCCUGUUGGAUUGGCUUUUAACCUCUAACUGCUUGGUGCAGUCUCUUCUGUCAUUGCCGCCGGGGAUUUGGAGCUCCAUUCUGCUGAUGAAGAGGAUGAUGUUGAGGCAGAACAAACCCCUGCCGAGGCUGUUCCUUCUGGUAGAAGAAAAAGAAAAGGGCCUGCUCCCCCUCUGGAUAAUACCGCGCGGCCUGGCAUUCCUGGUAAGUUUGGAGCAUUCCAACUGUUCUCUUUGGAUUUAUUCUGUUUUCUCUUUUCUAAUCUUUUCCUUUUGUUCUGUCCAGCUGGGAGUCCUUCUCCUCCUCCUACUAAGUUAAAAAAGCUUAAGAAGAGGGGUGAAGUGGAAUACUUUGCCGCAGAAGAAGCCGCAGCAAUCCCAGCCACUACUUCUGGGACGGACGAUGAGCUGCGAGAAGCCUUUGAGGAGGUGGAGCAGGAAAAAGAGCUGCAAGAGCUGGAGGAGGUGCCCCAAGAGAAGGUGGCAGCGGUGGAAGACGAGGUGAGUUUUAGUCUGUGACUCGCAUUAGUUCCUCUUUUGCUUCAUUCCUUCUGUUCUGACCCCCUUCUUGUAGGAUGAAAUUCCUGCUGAGGUGAUAGCGGAGAGCAUUGCCUUGGCGCAGAAGCAACAAAAGGGUCCGAGUGCUGAGCUGACCAGCUCAGAACUGGCUCUUUUUGAGGAUGCUGAGGCAGAACACUCUACUGCCGCUCCAGAGGCCGAGGAUCAGGUGGAGCCAUCUGCAUCAGACCCCGUGGAUCAGGCAGAAUUAACCGUUGUGGUCCCGGAGGCUGAUGUGGGAACGACUGCAGCUGCUCCUGUGGUUGUGGUAAUUUUCCCCUUCAACUGUUCAUGUUUUCCUGCUGUUCUGUCUGUUCUGUCUUUUUAACAUUUGCAGUCUUUCCAGGUGGAAGUGCCUAAAGCUGCUGGUGCCCUGGCUGCGGUGUCCAGCCCUCUGAAGCCUCCCAUUGUCGCUGUAAGUUUUCAUAACUUUUGAGCCUCCUUUAUCUUCCACUUUCUGCCUGGUCUUAGCUUAUGUUCUCUUCUGCAGAUGCCUAUUCAUUCCUUUCCAGGAUCAUCUGCCACGGCUUCUUUUGCUGAUCCAGAACUUGAAGAGUUUGAAGCCAUGGAUCUGGAUGCCCAAUUGGACAGACUGGAGAAACUCAGCUCUCCUCCAGGCAAGGCAAAAUCUAGGGCGGUGGAGGAAGCCAUGGAGAGGUUGAAAAUCUGGCAGUCCACUGAGCUGGAAUUUGAUGAAGAUACAGGGGCUCUUGAUCAGCUGAUGAAGGACCUGGACCUGCUGCAUAGACAGAACAUGGCUCCGAGGCCUAUUCUUGAGAUGGGCCUAAGCCUGGCCAGAGAUGUGCUUAAUCUGCAUGAUCGCUAUGAAGAUCUUAGGCCUACGUUCAAAACUUCUGAGUUCUGCAAGGCCACACAUGAAGCUAAUCUGGCUGACUUUGCCAGGCAGAAAACAGAACUGGAUCAGAUGGUGGCUGGAUAUAAGGAGGCUAAGGCUACCGCGGAUAAGUUGGAGAAGCAGAUUGAAGAACUCCAAAAACAGCUGGCAGAGUGUAGGGAGGUGCAGAACAAACUUGGGGCUGGACUGAGUUCCAAAACUAAGGCCACCUUCCUUGUGCAAAGUAUGGUUGCAGCUUCUAGGCCAGCUUUGGAAAUUGCAGAGGCUUCAAUUCACCAGGGGGUGUUGCUCCAGAAAGAACUGUUUGUCAAGAAAGCGAACCUACAGGAGACUCUUAGAAAGCUAGGAUUUUAGCUUCUUCUUUCUUUUGUUCGAAUAAUUUGCCGCAAAGGUGGCUAUUUUUAUAUAAGCUUUCAAAGCAUUUUUACUGCUUUUUAUUCUUGAUGCAAUAACCGGACACGGUUUUGAAAGUACAGUAAAAACAGAACAACAUUAAAGUAAAAACAAAUCUAAACAAGAUUCCCUUUCAAGAAACAAAAAGGUCAAUCUUCUUCCUCUUCUAUCCCAGGAUCCGUUUGUACAGCCUGUGAAUCCCACAUGGUUGGAUAGAACUUCUUUAACCAUUUACCAUUGAUUGGGGCAAAGUGAACAACUCCAUCUCGGUCCUGCAACCUAUAUGCCCCCAUUCCGAGGAUUUGGUUAAUUAUAAAAGGGCCUUCCCAGGUAGGUGACCACUUCCCAUACCCAGCUAUGUGUGCUCCAAGGGGCAGAAUUGCCUUCCAGACUAUCUCUCCCUCUUCAAAACUCUUGUUUUUGACUCUUUUGUUGUAGGCUCUCGAUACAGCCUGUUUUCCUGCUAAGAGUUUGUUGAGGGUGUCAAUUCUGCUUGCAUCCAAUCCUUCCAAUUCCAGUAACAUGGCUUGAGAGUAAUCCUCCCCAGUGAGACCAUGCUGGUGAGCAAUUCUAAGAGACUGGACUGCUAUCUCCAUGGGAAGAAUUGCAUCGUGGCCGUAGGUUAGAGCAUAGGGGGUCAUGCCAGUCGCUUCUCUCUUCGAAGUUCUGUAUGCCCACAAAGUUUCUGACAACUUCUCGUGCCAUUGCUUUGGAUUUUUCUCUAGCAUCUUUCUAAUGAUAUUGAUAAUCACCUUGUUACUUGAUUCUGCCUGUCCAUUAGCUUGAGCAUAGUAAGGAGUAGAUUGAAGCAGUUUGAACUUGAAUGUUUCUGCCAUAUCUAGCAUGUCCCUAGAUAUGAAAGAAGAACCCCUAUCGGUUGUGAUUGAUUCUGGAAUGCCAAACCUUUGUAUGAUCUGUUCUUCUAUGAAGGUGAUGAUCUCUUGAGAUGUUGUGGUUUUUACUGGCUUGGCUUCUACCCACUUGGUGAAAUAAUCUGUGGCAACGAUGAUGAAACAGUGCUGCUGGUUGCUGGCUGGAUAGAUUUUGCCAAUGAGAUCCAUUGCCCAUCCCCUGAAAGGCCAUGGUUUUACUACUGGAUUCAUGGGAACCGAAGGAGCCUGCUGGAUUGGGCCGUGCCUUUGACAGGCUUCACAUCCUUUGGAAUAGUCGAUGCAAUCCUUCAUCAUGGUUGGCCAGAAGUAGCCAUAUCUUCUGAUUAACCAGCACAUCUUUCUUCCCCCUUGGUGAGCUCCACAGACCCCAUCAUGGGUUUCUCCCAUGACUUUCAUGUAUUCUGUCUUCCCGAGGCACCUUAAUAGUACCUCAUCCUUACUUUUUCGGACCAAAUCUUCAUUCCACAUGAGGUAGUUUGUAGCCAUGAUUCUGACUCUUUUCUCAGAGGGCAGAGUGGGAUAUCGUAAGUAAGUCAUGAUAGGCUCCCUCCAAUCAUCUCCAGUGAUCGAGGCAGAAUUGACUUCUAUCUCCAUUCCUCUCGUCAAAACAGAUGGUAGACUUUUCCUUCCUAUCUUGAUGAUCCUUUGGACGCAGUCUUCGGGCAUUUGUAUGCCUGAUGCCACCUGAGCCAGUUCAUUGGCUGCAAAGUUUUUCUCCCUUGGGAUGUGCUCCCAAGUAGCUUCUCUAAAUUCAGACACUUAUAUUCUCCAGCAAUCUGUUUUAGGACAAGCAUGGAAUCUCCCAAGAUUUCCACGGACUGGACUCCUAAUUCUACCAACAUUUCGAGCCCUAUAAUCAAAGCCUCAUAUUCGGCCCUGUUGUUGGUGCAUUGGAAAUCUAGCUGGAAAGAAUAGCAAUGCCUGACCCCUAAUGGUUCUUCCAGAACAAUCCCUGCUCCGGAAGCCUUGUCUGUCUUCGAUCCAUCAAAAUAUAAUUUCCAAGGUGUGAGAUGAAUCGAGUAAAUUGGAUUGUUAAGGCAAACAUGAGCUCUAGUUAACAGAUCUGCAUUUGCAAUGUCCAAAGAAUCCAUGUUUUCAAUUUCCUCUCCCGGGUGAUCUGCCAAAAAGUCUGCCACAGCUUGCCCUUUGACAGCUUUCUGGGGGACAUACCUCAGGGUGAAUUCUGUCAAAGCCAAAGUCCAUUUCCCAAUUCUGCCCCUCAGCAUUGGUCUUGUUAGCAUGUAUUUGAUUAAGUCGGUUUUGGCAAUGAUGUAGAUAGUAUGUGGCAGCAUGUAGUGCCUGAGCUUCACAGCAGUGAAAUAUAAGGCUAGGCAAAGCCUUUCUAUUGCGGAAUACCUUCUUUCCACUUCUGUCAACGUUCUGCUUAGAUAGUAGACCGCCUGUUCUUUUCCUUCUUUGUUAUCUUGAACUAGCAGACUUCCAAUGGAUACUUCUGAUGCAGAUACAUAAAGUUUGAAGGGUCUGCCCCUUUUUGGUGGGGACAGAACUGGUGGAUUUGAGAGGUAAUGCUUUAUUUCCUGGAAAGCCUGUUGGUGCUGUUCUUCCCAUUUGAAUGUCUGUUCCUGCUUCAGUCUCAACAGGGAGGAAAAGGGUUGGAUUUUUCCUGCAGAAUUGGAUAUGAAUCUCCUUAGGAAAUUGAUUUUUCCUAAGAGACUCUGAAGUUCCUUCUUGUUCCGAGGUGGUAGAGCUUCUAUGAUGGAUUUUGCUUUAUUUCUGUCAACCUCUAUACCUCUCUGGUGGACCAAGAAUCCUAAGAAAUUCCCUGCCUGGACUCCAAAAACACAUUUUUUGGGGUUCAUUUUUAGCUUGUGCUGCCUCAUUCUCAGGAAUGCCUUUCUCAGACUUGCUACGUGAUUUCCUUCCUCAGGGGAUUUAAUCACCACGUCAUCUAUGUAUACUUCCAAAGAAUGUCCUAUCAUAUCAUGAAAAAUAGAAUUCAUUGCCCUUUGGUAGGUAGCUCCCGCAUUUCUCAAACUGAAAGGCAUUACAGUAUACUCGAAAGCACCUAUAUGUCCUGGACACAUAAAGGCUGUCUUGUGGAUGUCCUGUUCUGCCAUCAUAAUCUGGUUAUAACCUGCAUUGCCGUCCAUGAAAGAUAGCAUCUGGUUAUGAGCGGCUCCAUCCACUAACAUGGCUGCCAUUGGCAUAGGAUAUUCGUCUUUAGGAGAUGCCUCAUUCAGAUUCCUGUAAUCUACGCAGAUUCUAACUGCCCCUGUUUUUCUUUUGAGAACAGGUACAAUAUUUGCUAACCAAUCGGCAUAGACGGCUGGCCUGAUGAAUCCUGCCUUGAGCAACCUUCCUAUCUCUUCUUUGACCUUUAGUUCUGUGUCCAUAGACAUUCUUCUUCUGGCCUGUUUGACUGGAAGGUAGCCAUCUUUAAUUGGCAGCUUGUGCUCCACUAACUGCCUGUCUAAUCCUGGCAUCUCGUGGUAAUGCCAGGCAAAACAAUCUCUGAACUCCUGCAAAAGUGCCGUGAGUUCAGCCUUGAGUGGUUCCUUUAACAGUGUACUGAUGAAAGUAGGCCUUGGAUCUUCUUCUGUCCCUAAGUUUAUCUCCUGUAGAGGGUCCUCUACUUCUGGCAGGGAGUCAUCUAGUGCUGCCGGUGCAAAUUCCAACACUUCCUCCUGUAAAACUUCUUCCUCUUGUUCUUUUAUGCUUUCAUGGGUGAAUUCUGCCAUAUUAAUGGCUGGAUUCUGUAUGAAAAGUCUCCUUUCUCCCCAGUAUAUCAACAAUCUUUUUGUGAUGGAUCGGAUUGUUGCAGCUCGAUCCUUGUCCAGUUGAUUGGGACUAAACAUCAGAAUUCUGGAAGUUCGGCACAAGAAAGUCUAUUCCAGUCCUCUAGAGAACUGGCUAGACCUUCUUCAAUGAGUCUUUGGGCCGUGACACCAUGGGGGCGGCCGUUCUGAUUGACUCCAAGGAAAGUGUAGGGACCGAGGUCAUCAUGAUAAUACCUUGCUUCAAAGCACAUGGCAGAGGGUAGGAAUGGCCGUGGAUCGGCCUCUAUAAUCUCCAUGCAGCCUUCUUCAUUCCAUAUUGCUAACUGCUGGUGGAGGGUGGAAGGGAUACAAAGGCUCUGGUGAAUCCAAUCCCUGCCGAGUAGUGCAUUGUAGGUGGUGGAGGUAGUGUCUAUAACAAAGAAUGCUAUUUUCAACUCUUUGCUUCCGACUACGACAUCUACAUCUAAGAUGCCGUGUAUUUUGGUGAUGCCCCCAGCGAAGUUGGUGACGGUUAAUCGUGUUGGAAUUAGAUCCCUCUCUGUCCUGCCCAACUUGGUCAGCAUUGUGUGGGGUAAUAGAUUAAUGGCUGCACCUCCAUCUACCAUGAUCUUGGAGAUAGGAAUACCUCCAAGAUUUGCCGUUAUAAACAACGGUCUGAGGUGAUUUUCCAUUUCUCUGGUUGGCUUGGCGAAACAAGCCUGCUCUGUAGCUGGUUUAUUGGCUGUUCUGCCUGUCCUAGGGUCGUCUGCUUGCGGUUCUGGCGGCUCCUCUGCUUCUGCCAACCUACACUCAAAGCUCUCCUGGGAGAAAACGUCCCCUUCCAGAGUGCUUUUUUGUCCUUCGGUAGCCCUGAAUUCACCUGGUAGGAUGAAUACCAUGUUAAUUCCCAGAUCACCCUGUAGGAGGUCUUCUAAUUCUGCGCCAAAAGCUUCUGUUUCUGGGUCCAAUUCCUCACCAAAUUCCAUUAAUUCUUCCCCAUAUUCUUCCGUCCAGUCAUCCUGUUCUGCUACUUCGAGGGGCUCUUUCUGAUCAUCUGCAGAAGGUUCAUAGUCUAAUUGCUCUUCUUCAUAUUCCUCAGCGUAGUCGUCUUCUUUUUGUAACGGGGUAGACCCGGAUUUCUCUAAUGUCCGCGUGGUGUCAGGAUGGCUGCCGGACGACGAGGCUAUAUGGAUAGGAGACCUGGCUGGCUGCUCUGUUUUCAGCAAUUCCCUUGACUGGCAGGCUUUCUGUUCCGUCUGGGGAAGUGUUUCAGGAUUCUUUCCUUUCCUGGCAGAACUGGGUUGUGAACGUACCUGCGUAUUGUCUUGGCUUUUAAGAUAUGUGCAGUAUUGCCUCUGGAUUCUUCUUUUCUGGGUUCUGGUCAGCUCCAGAGUCGGUCUACCGCUUCUUCCUACGGAAUACCACCUCCCUUCUAUGAUCGUUGCCAAGGGUCUUUCGUUUCCGGGCGUCUUGACUGAUAUUUCCUUCCUGGGUUGCUCCAUCCUCCUCUCGCCGUAGUGUGUAGGCCUAAGACAGCUCUUCUGCCUUGUCUUGUCUUGGGAUAUAGUUCCAAUUCUGUCAAAGACACUAGGUGUGGGCUGAUUUUGUUUGUCUAGGACCACCUCUAGCUCUGUUUCACACUUGCACCUACUGCAGAGCACCACCCCAGCCGAGAUGGUCGCUCUUGGUAUCUGACUGGUCUCCCUUAUGAUUCUUCUGCCUCUGCUGCAACCAGCAUCUGUGAUAGGGUCGGUUUUCCUCUGUUCUGGCCAAUUUAAGUUGACCAUAUUGACUUGCGGUUGAGGAAAAGGAUCCGUCGUGACGGAUGGUGGUUUUUCUGCCAACUUCAACCUUCCUGCCGUUAUUCCUUCUUGUACUACGUCCCUGAAAACGACACAACUAUUGGUAGAAUGGUUCCAAGAGUUGUGCCACCUGCAGUACUGUCUGCCUUUGAGUUCUUCCGGCUUCGGUAUUCUGUGAGGCGUCUCUAUUACCUUCUGCAGUAGCAUUUCGUCGAACAAGGCAUUGACCUUGGUUAAGUCAAAAGAGUAAACCUUGUUUUGUGUUGGUUUGUUUGGAACGAAUCCUCCUGUGAAUGGUGGUGGCUUUUGGUCUUUGGGUGGCUUUGUGAGGGCUUUGCAACUGAUGGGAUGUUUCAGUUUUGCCAUUUCUGCCACUGAAACCUCUUUCUCCUCUGAUUCCUCUGUAUCUUCUUGCGACUCCACCUCGAUCAGGUGGACUGAAGAAGAAGGGGUUUUGUAGUAUGUACCUUUGGAGGAGUUCCUCCUUUGCUGCUCUUCCCUGAGUAGCUCUUCAUAUUUGGAUGCCUUAUCAGCCAGUUCUGCCAGAUCUCCGAACAAUAUCCCGUCGAACCUUUUCCUGAGGGAGAUUUUAAGGGCGGCUUGGGCCAUCUGGAUGAAGUGUCUUUCUUCCAUUGGGAUUCGGCACUUCAUCUUGAGCCUUCUGAACCUGGUUAUAAAAUCUUGCGCCGGUUCAUCUUCACUCUGCUUGAGGGCAGCUAGAUCACUGAUGGUGACUUCUGGCUGAAUCCUGUAAUAGUAGUCAUGGAAGACAUUUUCCAUCUGUUCCCAGGUUUGAACAGAGUUAGCUGGCAGGCUGGUGUACCAGGUAAAAGCUUGCCCAGAGAGAGAGUUGCCAAAAAGCCUUAAUUUCAGCAGAGGGUUGUUUUCUAUAGCUAUGCAUUGGACGGAGAACCUGCCUAUAUGUUCGACUGAGGAAGCAUGGGGGUCUUCCCCGUUGAACAAAGUGAAGUUUGGCACUUUGAAACCUGGAGACAACGGUAUUUGAUCGAUGUAGGCUGGGUAUGGCUUUCUGUAAGUAGGCCUUUCCCCUCUUCUAGCCUCGGGUUCCAUGAUCUCUCUGACCAUUCUUCGCAAUGCCCCUACGUCAUUUAAAGCAUUGACUGGGGGAAAAUUUUGUCCCUGUUCUGGCUGAACGUAAUCAAACCUGGGUUCUGCCCUGAGUGGUCUGGGUGGAACUUCCUCCCUGUGUUCUUCCUGCUCUUCGACUUCUGGAUGAUUCCUCCAGUUUGCCCCCUGUCUAUUCCUGUCAUGAUUAGCAAAAAGGUUGUUUCCCCCUCGGGCUCUCCUCCCUCUUGCAGGUGGAGGGAAUGGAUUAGGGUCCAUCCUUCUGGGUCUAUAUGGCAAUACUGCCGGUGGUUCAGGCAGAAGCGCCAAAGGUUGAUCAUGCGGGGCUGCAUGAUGUGAAUUGGGCUGAGGUCCUAGCUGGUUCUGAGCCAGUGUCAGGUUAUCUGGCUGGGCUGGGGCCUGAUGUUCUUGAUUAGGAAGGGCUCUCUCCCUCGGAUCAGCCUGAACUUCUGUGUGGCCUGGCACUCCAGCCAUCUGUGCAACUAGAGGAUUUUCCUGAUAUGGCCAUAUUAGUCCUGGCGGAGGGCCAUAAGGAAGAUCCAACUGCUGGAUUACAGGAUCUGGGUUUGGAUUUCUGGCCAUGGCGGAUUCUCGGUCCUUCCGGAACUGUCUGUUUACCUGCCAUUGCAUCAUGGCUGUCAUGUUAUCGAGAGUGUCCUGGCUCCUUUGUACUGUGAUCUCUUGUCGGAGUACUGACUCCUUUAUUUGACUCAUCCUUUUGGAGCCAGUCCUGGAACGUCUGCUUCCUGUACUGUCGUGGGCAGACUGCCUAGCGUCGCUUUCUUCCGAUUCGAGGCCUUCUCUGAGAACCAUCUUGUUUUUCUCCAUGUCUGGUGUGGGUUCUGACUAGAUCUUCCGGCUUUUGUAAAUCUGUGAAUGACUCUGUCAGAGUAUGUAUACUGAGAAGUCCCACUGGGCGUGCCAAAUUGUUCACCCGUUUUCGUGUUUAACUCCUGAUGUGGAAGGGCGAAGUUCCCCACUGGCUUGGAGACCACUUGUUGGUCGACAAGUCAGCUUUCUUUGGUGUGCGAGCGUGCCACUGCUAGCAAUGUAAAUUCUAGCAGACUUAUUUUUAGAGUGGAUAACUUGCGCCUCAAGUUACUGACUUCUAAAACAAACGAUUGUGAAUUUGGGUAAGGAAUAUCUCCCAAGUAAGUUCUUUUCUUGCCUCAGACUGGUGAGGACUUUCACAAUUUAUCUCAGUACCAAAAAAUGGUUGUUCUGCCCAGAAUAGAUAAUAAUAAAGUACUGUUUCAGGCAGAACUGCCUUUUACAAAAUUAAGAAGGGAGAAAUCAACUCUAGGAAGGCAAAAGGAUGGCUGGAAUCCCAUUUCUGCCUGGGUAGAAACUUCUGAUCCGGGCUGGACUGGGUAUGUCUAUGCUGGACUGUACUGUCAACAACUUUAGCUGCUUGGCUUCAGCUGUAAAUCGAUACCAAAGUUCGAUUUUGGCAGAGCUUCAAUCUACUUCAAGCCUUGGGAGGCUCUUGAGCGGGCAGAACUGUGACUUCUUCAGUCUGAAGGGACAAAAGUGGCUAUUCUCGAGGAUUUAGCAAGCUGGAACCAUGCUGUAAAAUUUGUUGAGGUUUUCAUAGUUGUGAAAACUCAAACUAUGUUUGUCUUGGCUUUUGCUGAACCAAAUUUGUAACGAGGGAUCUCGUUCUAGGAAAUUUGUUUUCUAAGUCUGAACCUUGGAAUUCUGAUUUAAGGUUGGUUUCUCUUGGAAUUUAAGUGAGCUCUUGGCUGUUUUUCUUGCUGUUGUUUUUUUGGUUGAUGAGUUGAGUGUCCUUUCUUUCUUGCCUGCUUCUGUUUUUAUAAGAGACCCUCCUUUUGAAGGUGGUUUUAAAUUUUAAUAAUGGGCGGCAAAAGAUUUCUCAAAACGUAAAGCAGGAAAUAUUUUUAUCAAUUAUGGCAGAUAGACUCCCAUUGGUCACUUCCUAUAGCGAUCCCUUCCCUGGUUUCCUGGCUGACGGUUUUUCUAUUUUAAUGCCACCGUCUGUGUGAGCUGAUCCUAUGGCGGUUUUGAUUUUUCUUUUGUAUUUUCUGAACAACUCCCUGUUUCUUGCUCUUGAAAACGUGAUUUGCGAAAUCUUUUUAGAAGAUGGUGUGUUGCUUUGGAGCAAAAAGUCUCUGAUCAUAGACGCCCCUUUGAUUUUUCUUUCUCGGCAGUGUUUUCAGAAACGUCCCUUCUCACAUAAAAACUCUAGUUGGAAUUGCUGACUUUCCAGAGAGGUGAGGUAGCCACGUGAAUGUGUCUUUAGUCUCUUGGGCUUGAGUUUAAACAAUAUUUUGUGGGCUGAUCUUCAAAGGCCCAAUAUGACAGCUUUCUACGUUUUGGGUUUUUUGGGACUGGAUAAGUAUUUCACCACGGGCCUGUUUCUGGAUCUCUUUGGUGUGUCAAAUUUAGGCCCAAACACAACCUAUAUGCCCCCAUUCCGAGGAUCUGGUUAAUCACAAAAGGACCUUCCCACGUAGGUGACCAUUUUCCAUAUCCAGCUAUGUGCGCUCCAGCGGCAAAAUUGCCUUCCAGACUAUUUCUCCUUCUUCAAAACUCUUAUCUCUGACUCUUUUGUUGUAUGCCUUUGACACAGCCUGUUUUCCUGCUAAGAGUUUGUUGAGGGUGUCAAUCCUGCUUGCAUCCAAUUCUUCUAAUUCAAGUAGCAUGGCUUGAGAGUAAUCUUCUCCUGUGAGAUCGUGCUGGUGAGCAAUUCUAAGAGACUGGACUGCUAUCUCCAUGGGCAGAAUUGCAUCAUGACCGUAGGUCAGAGCAUAGGGAGUCAUGCCAGUUGCUUCCCUUUUUGAAGUUCUGUAUGCCCACAAAGUUUCUGACAACUUCUCAUGCCACUGCUUCGGAUUCUUCUCCAGCAUCUUUCUGAUGAUAUUGAUAAUCACCUUGUUACUUGAUUCUGCCUGUCCAUUAGCUUGAGCAUAAUAGGGGGUAGAUUGAAGCAGUUUGAACUUGAAUGUUUCUGCCAUAUCUAGCAUAUCCCUAGACAUGAAAGAAGAACCCCUAUCAGUUGUGAUCGAUUCUGGAAUGCCGAAUCUCUGUAUGAUCUGCUCUUCUAUAAAGGUGAUGAUCUCUUGAGAAGUUGUGGUUUUGAUUGGCUUGGCUUCUACCCAUUUGGUGAAAUAGUCUGUAGCAACAAUGAUAAAACAAUGCUGCUGGCUGCUGGCUGGAUAGAUUUUGCCAAUGAGAUCCAUUGCCCAUCCCCUAAAAGGCCAUGGUUUCACCACUGGAUUCAUGGGAACUGAAGGAGCCCGCUGGAUUGGGCCGUGUCUUUGACAAGCUUCACAUCCCUUGGAAUAGUUGAUGCAAUCCUUCAACAUGGUUGGCCAGAAGUAGCCAUACCUUCUAAUUAACCAGCACAUCUUUCUUCCUCCUUGGUGAGCCCCACAGACCCCUUCAUGGGUUUCUCCCAUGACUUUCAUAUAUUCUGUCUUUCCGAGGCACCUUAAUAGCACCUCAUCCUCACUUUUUCGGACCAAAUCUUCAUUCCACAUGAGAUAGUUUGUAGCCAUGAUUCUGACUCUUUUCUCAGAGGGUAGAGUGGGAUACUGCAAGUAAGUCAUGAUCGGCUCCCUCCAAUCGUCUUUAGUGAUCAAGGCAGAAUUGACUUCUAUCUCCAUUCCUCUAGUCAGAACUGACGGUAGACUUUUCCUUCCUAUCUUGAUGAUCCUCUGGACGCAGUCUUCAAGCAUUUGUAUGCCUGAUGCUACCUGAGCCAGUUCAUUGGCUGCGAAGUUUUCUUCCCUUGGGAUGUGUUCCCAAGUAGCUUCUCUAAAUUCUGUUAGCAGAUUUCUAGCUGCUACCAGAUAUACAGCCAGAGAAGGAUUUAGACACUUGUAUUCUCCAGCAAUCUGUUUUAGGACAAGCAUGGAAUCUCCCAAGAUUUCCACGGAUUGAAUUCCCAAUUCUACCAACAUCUCGAGCCCUAUAAUCAAAGCUUCAUACUCGGCCCUGUUGUUGGUGCAUUGGAAAUCUAACUGGAAGGAAUAGCAAUGUCUGACCCCUAAGGGUUCUUCUAGCACAAUCCCUGCUCCUGAAGCCUUGUCUGUCUUUGUUCCAUCAAAAUAUAAUUUCCACGGUAUGAGAUGAAUCGAGUAGACUGGAUGGUUAAGGCAAACGUGAGCUCUAGUUAGCAGAUCUGCAUUUGCUAUGUCCAAAGAAUCCAUGUUUUCAAUUUCCUCUCCCGGGUGUUCUGCCAAGAAAUCUGCCACAGCUUGUCCUUUGACAGCUUUCUGGGGAACAUACCUGAGGGUGAAUUCUGUCAAAGCCAAAGUCCAUUUCCCAAUUCUGCCCCUCAGCAUUGGUUUUGUUAGCAUGUAUUUGAUUAGGUCUGUUUUGGCAAUGAUGUAAAUAGUAUGUGGCAGCAUGUAGUGCCUGAGCUUUACAGCAGUGAAAUAUAAGGCCAGGCAAAGCCUUUCUAUCGCGGAAUACCUUCUUUCCACUUCUGUCAAUGUUCUGCUUAGAUAGUAGACUGCCUGUUCUUUCCCUUCUUUGUUAUCUUGAGCUAGCAGACUUCCAAUGGAUACCUCUGAUGCAGAUACAUAAAGCUUGAGGGGUCUGCCCCUUUUUGGUGGGGACAGAACUGGCGGAUUUGAGAGGUAAUGCUUUAUUUCCUGGAAAGCCUGUUGGUGCUGUUCUUCCCAUUUGAAUGUCUAUUCCUGCUUCAGUCUUAACAGGGAAGAAAAGGGUUGGAUUUUUCCUGCAGAAUUGGAUAUGAAUCUCCUUAGAAAAUUGAUUUUUCCUAAGAGACUUUGAAGUUCUUUCUUGUUCCGAGGUGGUAGAGCUUCUAUGAUGGAUUUUGCUUUAUUUCUGUCAACCUCUAUACCUCUCUGGUGGACCAAGAAUCCUAAGAAAUUUCCUGCUUGGACUCCAAAAACGCAUUUUUUGGGGUUCAUUUUUAGUUUGUGCUGCCUCAUUCUUAGGAACGCCUUUCUUAAGCCUGCCACGUGAUUUCCUUCUUCAGGGGAUUUAAUCACCACGUCAUCUAUGUAUACUUCCAAGGAAUGUCCUAUCAUAUCAUGAAAAAUAGAAUUCAUUGCCCUUUGGUAGGUGGCUCCCGCAUUUCUCAAACCGAAAGGCAUUACAGUAUAUUGGAAAGCACCUAUAUGUCCUGGACACAUAAAGGCUGUCUUGUGGAUGUCCUGUUCUGCCAUCAUAAUCUGGUUAUAACCUGCAUUGCCGUCCAUGAAAGAUAGCAUCUGGUUGUGAGCGGCUCCAUCCACUAGCAUGUCUGCCAUUGGCAUAGGGUAUUCGUCCUUGGGAGAUGCUUCAUUCAGAUUUCUGUAAUCCACACAAAUUCUAACUGCCCCUGUUUUUCUUUUGAGAACAGGUACAAUAUUUUUUAACCAAUCUGCAUAGAUGGCUGGCCUGAUGAAUCCUGCUUUGAGCAGCCUUUCUAUCUCUUCUUUGACCUUCAGUUCUGUGUCCAUAGACAUUCUUCUUCUGGCCUGUUUAACUGGAAGGUAGCCAUCUUUGAUUGGCAGUUUGUGCUCUACUAACUGCCUGUCCAGCCCUGGCAUCUCGUGGUAAUGCCAAGCAAAACAGUCUCUGAACUCCUGCAAAAGUGUCAUGAGUUCAGACUUGAGUGGUUCCUUCAAAAGUGUGCUGAUGAAAGUAGGCCUUGGAUCUUCUUCUGUCCCUAAGUUUACUUCUUGCAGAGGGUCCUCCACUUCUGGCGGGGAGUCGUCUAGUGCUGCUGGUGCAAAAUCUAAUACUUCUUCCUGUAAAAUUUCCUCCUCUUGUUCUUUUGUGCUUUCAUGGGUGAAUUCUGCCAUAUUGAUGGCUGGAUUCUGCAUGAAAAGCCCCCUUGCUCCCCAGUAUAUCAACAAUCUUUUUGUGAUGGAUCGGAUUGUUGCAGCUCGAUCCUUGUCUAGUUGAUUGGGACUAAACAUCAAAAUUCUGGAAGUUCAGCGCAGAAAGGUCUAUUCCAAUCCUCUAGAGAACUGGCUAAACCUUCUUCAAUGAGUCUUUGGGCCGUAACACCAUGUGGGCGGCCGUUCUGAUUGACUCCAAGAAAAGUGAAAGGACCGAGGUCAUCAUGAUAAUACCUUGCUUCAAAGCACAUGGCAGAGGGUAGGAAUGGCCGUGGAUCAGCCUCUAUAAUCUCCAUGCAGCCUUCUUCAUUCCAUAGUGCUAACUGUUGGUGGAGGGUGGAAGGAACACAAAGGCUCUGGUGGAUCCAAUCCCUACCAAGCAGUGCAUUGUAGGUGGUGGAAGUAGUGUCUAUAACAAAGAAUGCUAUUUUCAAUUCUUUACUUCCGACUAUGACAUCCACGUCCAAGAUGCCAUAUAUUUUGGUGAUGCCCCCAGCGAAGUUGGUGACGGUCAAUCGUGUUGGAAUCAGAUCUUUCUCUGUCCUGCCCAAUUUGGUCAGCAUUCUGUGGGGUAAUAGAUUAAUGGCUGCUCCUCCAUCUACCAUGAUCUUGGAAAUAGGAAUACCCCCAAGAUUUGCCGUUAUAAACAAAGGUCUGAGGUGAUUUGCCAUUUCUCUGGUUGGCUUGGCGAACCAAGGUUGCUCUGUAGCUGGUUUAUCGGCUGUUCUGCCUGUCCUGGAGAUGUCUGCUUGUGGUUCUGGUGGCUCCUCUGCUUCUGCCAAUCUACAUUCAAAGCUUUCCUGAGAGAAAACAUCUCCUUCCAGAGUGCUUUCUUGUCCUUCGGUAGCCCUGAAUUUACCUGGUAGGAUAAAUACCAUGUUAAUUCCCAGAUCACCCUGUAGGAGGUCUUCUAAUUCUGCGCCAAAAGCUUCUGUCUCUGGGUCCAAUUCUUCACCAAAUUCCAUUAAUUCUUCCCCGUAUUCUUCCGUCCAGUCAUCCUGUUCUGCUACCUCGGGGGGCUCUUUCUGGUCAUCUGCAGAAGGUUCAUAGUCCAAUUGCUCUUCUUCCUCUAUGUAGUCGUCUUCUCCUUGUAACGGGGUAGACCCGGAUAUCUCUGGUAUCUGCUCGGUGUCAGGACAGCUACUGGACGAUGAGGCUAUAUGGGCAAGAGAUCUGGCUGGUGGUUCUGUUUUCAGCAAUUCCCCUGACUGGCAAGCUUUCUGUUCUGUCUGGGGAAGUGAUUCAGGAUUUUUUCCUUUCCUGGCAGAACUGGGUUGUGAACGUACCUGCGUAUUAUCCUGGCUCUUAAGAUAUGUGCAGUAUUGCCUCUGGAUUCUUCUUUUCUGAGUUCUGGUCAGCUCCAGAGUUGGCCUACCAUUUCUUCCUACGGAAUACCAUCUCCCUUCUAUGAUCGUCGCCAAGGGUUUUUCGUUUCCGGGUGUCUUGACUGGUAUUUCCUUUCUGGGUUGCUCCAUCCUCCUCUCGCUGUACUGUGUAGGCUUAAGACAACUCUUCUGCCUUGUUUUGUCUUGGGAUGAGGUUCCAAUCCUGUCAAAGACACUAGGUGUGGGCUGAUUUUGUCUGUCUAGAACCACCUCUAGCUCUGUUUCACAUUUGCACCUACUGCAAAGCACUAUCCCAGCUGAGAUGGUCGCUCUUGGUAUUUGACUGGUCUCUCUUAUGAUUCUUCUGCCUCUGCUGCAGCCAGCAUCUGUGAUUGGCUGGGUUUUCCUCUGUUCUAGCCAAUUUAAGUUGACCAUAUUGACUUGAGGUUGAGGAAAAGGAUCCGUUAUGACCGAUGGUGGUUUUUCUGCCAGUUUAAGCCUUCCUGCCGUUAUCCCUUCUUGUAUCACGUCCCUGAAAACAACACAACUAUUGGUAGAAUGAUUCCAAGAGUUGUGCCACCUGCAGUACUGUCUGCCCUUGAGUUCUUCCGGUUUUGGUAUUCUGUGAGGCGUCUCUAUUGCCUUCUGCAGUAGCAUUUCGUCGAACAGGGCAUCGACCUUGGUUAAGUCAAAAGAGUAAACCUUGUUUUGUGUUGGUUUAUUUGGAACGAAUCCUCCUAUGAAUGGUGGCGGCUUUUGGUCUUUAGGUGGCUUUGUGAGGGCUUUGCAACUAAUGGGAUGUUUUAGUUUUUCCAUUUCUGCCACUGAAACCUCUUUCUCCUCUGAUUCUUCCGCAUCUUCUUGUGAUUCCACCUCGAUCAGGUGGACUGAAGAAGAAGGGGUUUUAUAGUAUGUACCUUUGGAGGAGUUCCUCCUUUGCUGUUCUUCCCUGAGUAACUUCUCAUAUUUGGAUGCCUUAUCGGCCAGUUCUGUCAGAUCUCCGAACAAUAUCCCGUCGAACCGUUUCCUGAGAGAGAUUUUAAGGGCGGCCUGGGCCAUCUGGAUGAAGUGUCUUUCUUCCAUAGGGAUUCGGCACUUCAUCUUGAGCUUUCUGAACCUGGUUAUGAAAUCUUGUGCCGGUUCAUCUUCACUCUGCUUGAGGGCGGCUAGAUCACUGAUGGUGACUUCCGGCUGAAUCCUGUAGUAGUAGUCGUGAAAGACAUUUUCCAUCUGUUCCCAGGUUUGAACAGAGUUAGCUGGCAGGCUGGUGUACCAGGUAAAAGCUUGUCCAGAGAGAGAGUUGCCGAAAAGCCUUAAUUUCAGCAGAGGGUUAUUCUCUAUAGCUAUGCAUUGGACGGAGAACCUGCCUAUAUGUUCAACUGAAGAAGCAUGGGGGUCUUCCCCAUUGAACAAAGUGAAAUUUGGCACUUUGAAACCUGGAGACAGCGGUAUUUGAUCAAUAUAGGCUGGGUAUGGCUUCCUGUAAGUAGGCCUUUCUCCUCUCCUAGCCUCGGGUUCCAUGAUCUCUCUGAUCAUUCUUUGUAAUGCCCCUAUGUUAUUCAAAGCAUUGACUGGGGGAAGAUUUUGUCCCUGUUCUGGCUGAACGUAAUCAAAUCUGGGCUCUGCUCUGUGUGGUCUGGGUGGAAGUCCUUCCCUGUGUUCUUCCUGCUCUUCGACUUCUGGAUGAUUCCUCCAAUUUGCCCCUGGUCUAUUCCUGUCAUGAUUAGCAAAGAGGUUGUUCCCUCCUCGGCCUCUCCUCCCUCUUGCAAGUGGAGGGAAUGGAUUAGGGUCCAUCCUUCUGGGUCUAUAUGGCAAUACUGCCGGUGGCUCAGGCAGAAGUGCCAAAGGUUGAUCAAGCGGGGCCACAUGAUAUGGAAUGGGUUGAGGUUCUGGCUGGUUCUGAGCCAGUGCCGGGUUGUCUGGUUGGGCUGGGGCCUCAUACUCUUGAUUAGGAAAGGCUCUUUCCCUCGGACCAGCCUGAAUUUCUCUGUGGUCUGGCACUCCAGCCAUCUGUGCAACUAGGGGAUUUUCCUGGUAUGGCCAUAUUAGUCCUGGCGGAGGGCCAUAAGGGAGAUCCAACUGCUGGAUUACAGGAUCUGGGUUUGGGUUUCUGGCCAUGGCGGAUUCUCGGUCCUUCCGGAAUUGUCUGUUCACCUACCAUUGCAUCAUGGCUGUCAUGUUAUUGAGAGUAUCCUGGCUCCUUUGUACUGUGAUCUCUUGUCGGAGUACUGACUCCUGCACUUGAUCCAUCCUUUUGGAGCCAAUCCUGGAACGUCUACUUCCUGUACUGCCGUGGGCAGAAUGCCUAGCAUCGCUUUCUUCUGACUCGAGGCCCUCCCUGAGGACCAUCUUGUUUUUCUCCAUAUCUGGUGUGGGUUCUGACUAGAUCUUCCGAUAUUUGUAAAUCUGUGAAUGAUUCCGUCAGAAUAUGUAUACUGAGAAGUCCCACCGGGCGUGCCAAAUUGUUCACCCGUGUUCGUGUUUAACUCCUGAUGUGGAAGGGCGAAGUUCCCCACUGGCUUGAAGACCACUUGCUGGUCGACAAGUCAGCUUUCUUUGGUGUGUGAGCGUGCCACUGCUAGCAAUGUAGAUUCUAGCAGACUUAUUUUGAAAGUGGAUAACUUGCGCCUCAAGUUACUGGCUUCUAAAACAAAACGAUUGUGAAUUUGGGUGAGGAAUAUCUCCCAAGUAAGUUCUUUUCUUGCCUCAGACUGGUGAGGACUUUCAUAAUUUAUCUCAGUAUCAAAUGGUUGUUCUGGCCAGAAUGGAUAAUAAUAAAGUACUAUUUUCAGGCAGAACUCCCUUUUACAAAAUUAAGCAGGGAGAAACCGACUCUAGAAAGGCAAAAAGAUGGCUGAAACUCCAUUUCUGCCUGGGUGGAAACUUCUAAUCCGGGCUGGACUGGGCAUGUCUACGCUGGACUGUACUGUCGACAACUUUAGCUGCUUGGCUUCAGCUGUAAAUCGAUACCAAAGUUCAAUUUUGGCAGAGCUUCAAUCUACUUCAAGCCUUGGGAGACUUUUGAGCGGGCAGAACUGCGACUUCUUCAGUUUGAAGGGACAGAAGUGGCUAUUCGUAUUCAGCAAGCUGGAACUAUGCUAUAAAAUUUGUUGAGGUUUUCAUAUUUGUGAAAACUCAAACUGUGUUUGUCUUGGCUGUUGCUAAACCAAACUUGUAACGAGAGGGAUCUCACUUUCAGAGGACUUAUUUUCUAAGUCUGAACUUCGGAAUUCUGAUCUAAAGCUGGUUUUCUUUGGAUCCAAGUGAGCUUUUUCUUGUUUGUUUUUUUUGAUUGAUUGAUGCAUUGAGUGUCCUUUGUUCCUUUGCCUACUUUCGUUUUUAUAAGAGACCCUCCUGGGGAGGUGAUUUUUAAUCCUAAAUAAUGGGCGGCAAAAAGAUCUCUUAUAAUAUAAAGUAAGAAGGAUUUCUUAUCAAUCAAGACAGAUAGGUUCUGAGCAGUCACCUCCUAAAGCAGUCCCUUCCCUGGUUUCCUGGGUGGCAGUUUCUAAUUCAAACCACCGCCACCAUCUGUGUAGGCUUUUUAUGGCGGUUUGGCUUUUUCUUUUAUAUUUUCUGAAUGGUUCCCUAUUUCCCGUUCUAAUUUAGAAAGCGUGAUCCGUGAAUCCCUGGGGGGGUGGUGCAUCGAUUUGGAGCAAAAUCUUGAACAUAGAUGGGUUUUUUGAUCUUCAAUUGGCAGUGUUUCAGAGACGUCCCUUUCAUAUUUUUAAAUUUCAGUCGAUAUUGCUGACUUUUCUAAAGCUGAGGCAAUCACGUGGGUGUGUUUUUGAUCCCUUGGGUCUGAACCUAAUCAAUAAUUCAUGGGCUGAUCUUUUGAAUCCCAUCUUGUCAGUUUCCUCUUUGGGCCUUUCUUUGGGCUGAAGCUUUGUUUUCAACAUUCUUGGUGUGAAGCCCAAUCUGUCUGGAUCCUAUUUUGUUUUUCUCAAGUUUUCGGGCUGGGCAGGCAAUUUCAUCAUGGGCUUGUCUCUUGAUUUUGGGUGUGCCGAAUUUUGGGCCCAAACAACUAUAUUAUGCAUGAUAUUAUUAUUUGAUUAUUAUUGAUAUUGGGUGUUUAAGUGUUGUUAAUUAUCAUCAUAUUAUUUUAUUCAUAUUGACAUGAUCAUAUGUUAUCGGUGAUGGCUGGAAUUCUUGGGUUGAUAAAGAAAGUAAGAAAAAGGGGGUAAUGGGAAGGAUCUUUUGUGUAGUUGAGUCUAACUCUUGGCAGGUACCAGGUCUCAAGGAUCCCGCAGUGCACAUGGUUUUCAUUGGGUGAUUCGGGACUAGCGACAGAGAGUUAGACAAGAUGACUAACGAAAUGGGAAUUAUGAGAAGAUUGAAAUGGGUGUUUGUUCAUAUAAAUGGGCAUUUGGGGCCAAGUGGUAUAAGCAUGGUAUGGGACGUGCAGGUCUGCUUGUGCAGUCAUAUGAAUUAACAGGAGUAGAUGAAGAGCAUUCAUUCAUGCAUUAUUAUUAAUAAUGUGAUAUUUAGCUGUGUGAUUACAUGUCACUUAAUUUAGUUAAAUCAAUCUACUGUGGUGAGGUCUCAUGUCCCUACUGAGUGGUGGUUUCUCAUCCCUCACCCUGUUUAAUUUUUCAGAUGAAUUAGUGGGCAUGACAAGGACUAAAUCAGUUGAGGCUGAACUAGAUGAGAGUGAUAGAGCUUUAUUUUUUUUAAUUGUAAAGUUUUAAGAUUUUGGGAGCUAUUUUUAUAAGAAAAGUUUAUUUUAUGUUUCGGCUUCUUUUUAUUCUAUUUUACCUUUUAUUUUCUCAUGCACUGGGCACGGGGUUUCCACUGACCCACGGGUCCGGGGCGUGACAAGGGUUAAUCGUUUUAUUCGUUCUUGGACUUAGACCCGGUUUGCAUUUGAGUACCUCAAUUUCCAAAAUCGUUCUCAUAUUCCUUUAACUUCACUUUUGUUAGGACAAAUGGUCCAGCCAUUAAUUUUGUUAACUUUUUCUGUUAAAUGCAGGGGCAAAAUGGUAUUUUUAUAUUAAAACCAAAAGAAUAAAUAAAUAAUCACAUCUUUAAAAUAACAAUAAAAUCAAAUCAAAUAAAAAACCAACCAAAAAAAAAUCGAGUUUGGGAAGAGUAGAAAUCGGGAUAGAGGGGGAGAGAGAGAGUUUAAUUUUAAUUUUUUAUUCAUAUUUUAAUCAAUUUAAUACAAAAUGAGGAGAACUACCCCCCCUCUUCUUCUCUUUUUAUUCACUACAUGCCAUGUAAAGAGAAGAACUAAAUGAGGUUAGGUUAUUAAAAUUGGGUGAGCUAGGAUUCUAUUUUUUUUGGCUGGAAAAAAGAAGCCACCUGGGUUGCCAAACUAAAGGUACAUCCGUGGGUAAGCUAGGAUUUUAUUUUUUUUUGGCUUGAAAAAAGAAGCCACCUGGGCUAUAGCCCAGGUUUGCCAAACUAAAGGAAGGUCUGUGGGUGGGCUAGGAUUUUAUUUUUUUGGCUGGAAAAAAGAAGUAGGUUUGCCAAACUAAAGAUCCGUCUCUGUUUCCACUUCAACCCAUUUACAAUCAAACUAUUUUAUGACUAAAACACUUCACAUUAAUGAUAAUUUUAUUAAACUAAAACACAGUUUUAUGAGUCUACUUAUGGAGAAAAACUUAGUUGCAAUGAGAUAACACUAUUUUGCUAUCCUUAUUUCAUAAAAGUCUUUCUCCUACUUAUGACUAUGGUUGCAGCCUGCAAUAUUCUUAAAAUAAUAAAAAAAUAAAAAAAAUAAAAAAAGUAGCUAUUCUGAAGGACAUUACCUCACUUUUGCUGUAUAAAUACUCUGCAUUUGCAAGCACUGCAAUGCACACACAAAAGCUAAGAUGGAUUCCAGAGAAGUAGCAACUAAGCCACACGCUGUUUGCAUUCCAUUCCCUUAUCAAAGCCAUAUAAAGGCAAUGCUUAAAUUUGCAAAGCUCCUCCACCACAGAGGUUUUCAUAUAACCUUUGUUAACACAGAGUUCAAUCACAAGCGCUUUCUUAAAUCUCAAGGACCCAAUUCCCUUGUUGGCUUGCCUGAUUUUCAAUUCGAUGCCUUCCCGGAUAGCCUUCCGGAUUCAGAUGAAGAUGCCACACCAGAUGCCACCUUGCUUUGUGAAUCCAUCAGAAAAAAAAAAUUCUUGGCUCCCUUUCAUGCCCUCCUUGCAAAACUCAACAAUGAUGCCAUAUCAACAUCCCACAAUCCUCCUGUGACUUGCAUAGUUUCAGAUGGUUUCAUGUCCGCGUUCACAAUCACAGCUGCUGAAGAAAUCGGAGUCCCUAUAGCGCUGUUCUACACUAUAGCUGCCUGCAGCUUCAUGGGAUUUAAACAACUUCGCGCUGUGGUCGAAAAAGGACUUUUUCCACUCAAAGGUGAAUAACUACGAAUUAAAAGCAAUUGUUGUUUCUAAACAUGCAAAUGAAAUGUUUCUUCAAUUGAAUUUCAUUUGUCUAUUGCAGAUGAGAGCUGUUUCAAAAAUGGCUAUCUGGACACCGUAAUAGAUUGGAUCCCAGGAAUGAGAGAUAUCCGUUUAAGGGAUCUCCCGACCUUCGCGCGAAACACAAAUCUGGAUGACACCGGAUUUAACUUCAUCAUGGAAGAAACCGAAAGAGCUCAUGAAGCUUCAGCAGUUGUUCUUCAUACUUUUCAUGCCUUGGAGACAGAUGUUUUGGAAGCUCUCUCAUCUAUGCUUCCCCAUGUGUACACCGUUGGCCCUCUUCAAUUGCAUCUCAAUCAGAUACCAGAGCACCCUUUGAAAAUGGGAUACAGUCCAUGGAAAGAAGAAACUGAAUGCCUCGAGUGGCUAAACACCAAGGCACCAAACUCAGUUGUCUAUGUGAAUUUCGGCAGUGUAGCAGUCGUGACACCAGAACAGCUUGUGGAGUUUGGGUGGGGACUUGCAAAUAGCAAGCUUCCAUUCUUUUGGGUAAUUAGACCUGAUCUAGUUGUUGGAGAAUCAGCUAUUUUGCCGCCUGAGUUUGUGGCUGAAACUAAGGAAAGAAGUCUAAUAGCUGGGUGGUGCCCACAAGAGCAAGUCCUCAACCACCCCUCAGUUGGAGGAUUUUUAAUGCACAGCGGUUGGAAUUCAACAGUUGAGAGCCUUACUGCAGGAGUUCCUAUGCUCUGUUGGCCAUUCUUCGGGGACCAGCAAAUGGACUGUCGCUAUACUUGCAAUGAAUGGGGAAUUGGCAUGGAGAUUAGUGAUGAUGCGAAGAGGGAAGAGGUAGAGAAGCUUAUCAAAGAGUUAAUGGAGGGAGAGAAGGGUAAGAAGAUGAAAAAUAAGGUCAUGGAGUGGAAGAAACUUGCAGAAGAAGCUACUGGUCCACAUGGUUCUUCAUCCACAAACUUAGACAAUUUAGUGAAUCAAGUGCUAUUGAGAAAAAGUUAAGAUGUUUCCAUAAGAAUAUUGAUGUUAUUAAUUAUCAUUUCCAUUGCCAUUGUCUCAAAUAAUCAACUAUCUGGCAAUAUAUAUGUACUACUGGUCUGUAACCAUGAUGCGUACUAUAUCUAGAAUUUUAUUCUGAUUAAGGUUUCACUACGCUUCAGGCCUUUAACUCUAAAAUCUUAUUGGAGAAUCGGCUAAUAUUUAAUUAUUUUUUAUACGUAUUUCCUUUUUACUGUGUUCUAUACAUAUUUAAUUGGAUUACUACUCUCGAGGAAGAUUAUCCUUAAGUAUUAUAUUCAACAAAUUACUAUUCAUGUGUCAGUUGUUUUACAUUUAUUGUAUUAAAUCAAUACUCACCAAUUCUUUAAGGUGUGAGAUAAUUAGUCACAAAUAAUGGUGACUAGUAACCAAAGUCAUUGACCACCCAUUCAAAUGUCACCAAAACUAUUGUGUUGCUAUACAAAUAUGACUAAUGCUUUCUAUUUUGUCGCCGGAUCAAGGCCGUGAAGUUCCGGGUUAAACCGUGAGUUUCUGAAGCCGAUUCUGACCACUUGCCGUCCGAAUUGGACUUGGGUGUUUGAAUAAAAUGUUCCACUCGUCGAGUAGAACCUGUAGCCGGGAGGGGUGGCUUGUAGUUUGGAGAUUUUCCGGUGAAGCUUUAUCGCUUUGGACACCCGCGCGUGUGGCGGUACGUGGGCACUAUAGCAGAGGGUCAUUAUUGUCCCAAUGCGAUCUCCUGGUUGUCACGAGUACGUAGGAAUUCGCGGAUCUCAAUUCGGAUGUCGUUUGACUAUCGAACGGAUUUUCGCAUAGUGUGCGUUAUCCGGGUUCGAUAGGUUCUGACCGUUGGAUCAUUUCCCAAUUAAAUUAUGUUGUUCUAGGUAUUCCUAGGAUCGUGUAGGACUUCGCAGAUCGUGAAUCGGAGCCCGGAUGUUCCAAUUCAAUAACUUAAAGUUUGAGUUUUAUAUUAACCGUCUGAUCGUGCGAUCGUAAGCGAUCUAACCGUCUGUUUCAGACCAAACUUGCGAGACGGGUAUCUUAGACCUUGUGGAACCUUUAGGAACUUACGGAUUGUAAAACGGAGGUCGUGGGUCCCGUGGACCCGGUUGACCUGAAUUGGGAAGUUUGACCGCCGGUUGACCGAGUGUCUCCCGAAGUUGUUCCAUCGUCCAAAUUGAGUAGUUGGACCUUAGAAUGUCUCAUUCCUAGUACACUUACUAGAAACCUGGGAAAUUAGGAUAUUUAAUUCAAAGUACUCGUUCGAAACGCUUCGUAUUAAUCUUGUGUACGUAUUCUGAAUUAGGUACUUCGACCACGCAUACGCAGCAGGCGGGACCCUCUCAGGGUCAAGCAGCGUGGGACUACUUGUGAGUGAACUUUGUUUUCAAAUCUUAUACAUGUUUUUAUUGAUGAAAGAUUUAUGCAUAAUGUUUUUAAUAAUUUAUUGAAUAUAUUAUAUUCAUGGGUUGAAUUUGAUGUUUGUAUAGCGCUUUGUCAAUAUAUUGUGGGUUUGGCAUUGUUGGGUAUUGAAAGCAUAUUUUAUAUGGAUUUUGGGAAAUAUUAUGCAUGAUGUUUUAAACGGUAUUUUGGAUAUAUUAUUUAUGAAAUUGUUGAAAGUGAUAUUUUUAUGAGGCAUUGAAAAUAUAUUUUGGGUUUUGACAUAUUUGAGUAUCUUGAGUAUGAAUAUAUGGAUUUUGAGGAUUUCUAUAUAUAUUUGGCUAUGUGUGAGGUACUUGGGUUGUUGAGAUGAGAUUGUGGAAAGUGGUGAGUAUAGAAUGUCAGUUUGGUGUGCUAUAAGCACUACCCUAUGUACCUCCCCUGAUUUGGAACUUGGAUAUGGAGACUUGAGAUACUUGGAAUUGUCGGAACCCGGGGCAUCCUUGACGGGAUGUUGCUGUAGACCCUUGAUUGGGUAGUCUGCGCUCGUAGGACUGAUCACAGACGUAUGAGUUUUGAGGUUAUCGACGGUACGUGCUGGCUGAGAGUUGGUCCCCCAGUUGGACGGCUCGUUCCCUAGUCACAUAGUGGAUUGAGGACUUUUCAUGAGGACUCUGCCAGGGUGACUAGUCAAACAAUCCCCCGGUUGGAUUGUUUCCCCGGUACAACUAGGUGAUGGUCAUAUUUAUAAUAUAUAUAUCUCUUAUAUGAUAUAUUUAUAUAUAUAUCUAUUCAUUCAUUUUUGUUUCUCGGUGUGGAUACUUCCUUGCCGGUCGUACCAAUGGGUACGCUUUCGAGAGUUUAGUUGUGAGAUUUAUAAGUUUUGGAUGGUGGGUUUUGUAAAGCGUUCUUUAUGGAUUUCGAACUUCGUAUCUGGUAUUGAUUUGUUUUGAUAUAUAUAUUAUAUAUAUAUAUAUAUAUUUGAGUAUGAUGGUUUUGAGAUGCAUGGGAUUUCUUGCAUGGUUUUCUAAACGGUGGGGUUAUAUUACGUUGGUUUACACUGAACUGAAUUUAUUUUUGUCCACUCACAAUUUUCUAUUUUGCGCCCCCCAGCCAGUAGUUGACUGAGCUCCGCAGCAGAGCCGGAUCAUGAGCUUCCGAGCCUUGAGUCUUCGUAGGACUCUUUCUUCAUGUUUUUCCCUUUGAACUCUGUCUUAUUGAAAUUGAAGUUCUUAGCCAUGCUCUGUUAUCGCCCCUGUUAGGGUUUGAUUUGUGAGGCCGGAGGCCAUUUGGUUGUAAACUGUUUAUUCGCUUUAAAGCAUGCUGCUGGUUGGGAUUAUUCUAUGUUUAUGCAGGUUGAAUUUUUGUUGGGUUUGUUCAAUUCACAGGGGAGACUUUGCCAAAAUUUUGGUAGAGAGUAUGGGUUUUUAGUAAGUGGACCCGGCAUCGGGAUGAUGUCGGAACAAAGACGAGAUUCGCCCUUGUUUCCGGGAAUUACGUAUAUAAUACAACUUCAAUAUUUAUAUGUAUAUUAUUUCAUUAAAUAUUUAUAUAUACAUAUGUUCUUUUGAAUAAAAGGGGUUAAAUUAUAUAUUUGUCCAUUAUUUCUUGAGAUGCCAUUAGAUGGUUAUUGGAUGCUUUCUAUACAUAUAUAUUAAUAACAUGGAUUAAGAGUUUAGACGUGGCAUCCUUACAUUGUUUUCUUGGAGAGAAAGACUAUUUCUCUCUUAUCUUAAUUAGGAUGCCGGAUGUGGCUUUUUCCAUUAAAUUAGUUGAUGCAUUACCAUCGCUAACUUACGCACGUUGUUAAUAACGUGUUGUCAUAGUAUAUUUUUAUUAUAGUGGUCACAGCCUUUGGAAAUAAAUCUCCUAGCGUUGACACAUAGCAACUUAUAAAAUAGAGUGGCAACCAAGUUAUCUUUUCGUAUAAAUAAGAUAAUGUCCUUUGUUAUUAUCCUCUCCAUUGUUACGCCAUCUCACCACCAAUAAAUAGAAGUUUUAAUGGAAGGAAGAGAUAUCAGGCAAAGGGUAAAGAGAGAGAGAGAGAGAGAGAGAUGAUGAUGAUGAAAUUCUUAGAAGAGAUAUAGGAUUUAGCUUGUAUUUUCUUAACUUGGAGAGAGAUGAUGAUGAAAUUCUUAGAAGAGAUAUAGGACUUAGCUUGUAUUUUCUUAACUUGGAGAAAUGCUUUGGAAUCGAGGUAGGAGUUUCUUGGUGACCUUUUAUAAAGAUUGAUCAAAUUAAAUUUCGUGAGCAUUAUAUCAUGCAUGAUAUUAUUAUUCGAUUAUUAUUGAUAUUGGGUGUUUAAGUGUUGUUAAUUAUCAUAUUAUUUUAUUAAUAUUGACAUGAUCAUAUGUUAUCGGUGAUGGCUAGAAUUCUUGGGUUGAUAAAGAAAGUAUGGAAAAGGGGGUAAUGGGAAGGAUCUUUUGUGUAGUUGAGUCUAACUCUUGAUAAGUACCAGGUCUCAGGGAUCCCGCAGCGCAUAUGGUUUUUAUUGGGUGAUUCAGGACUGGCGACAGGGAGUUAGACAAGAUGACUAACGAAAGGGGAAUUAUGGGAUGAUUGAAAUGGGUGUUAGUUCAUACAAAUGGGCAUUCGGGACCAAGUGGUAUAAGCAUGGUAUGGGACGUGCAAAUCUGCUUGUCCAGUUAUAUGAAUUAACAGGAGUAGAUGAAGAGCAUUCAUUCAUGCAUUAUUAUUAAUAAUGUGAUAUUUGGCUGUGUGAUUGCAUGUCACUUAAUUUAGAUAUAUCAAUCUACUGCGGUAAGGUCUCAUGUCCCUACUGAGCGGUGGUUGUUCAUUCCUCACCCUGUUUAAUUUUUCAGAUGAAUUAGUAGGCAAGACAAAGACUAAACCAGUUGAGGCUAAAUUAGAUGAGAGUGAUAGAGCUUUAUUUUUUUAAUUUUAAAGUUGUAAGAUUUUGGGAGCUAUUUUUAUAAGAAAAGUUUAUUUUAUGUUUCAACUUCCUGUUAUUCUAUUUUACUUUUUAUUUUCUCAUGCACUGGGCACGAGGUUUCCACUAACCCCCAGGUCCGAGGCGUGACAGAAUGGUAUAAGAGCUUUAGGGAUUAAAUACCCUUGGGAACUGUGGUAUAGUAUUACCACAAAGUAAAUUUGAAUUGGUGAAGUAAGUUAGUGACCUAACUUUUCAGGAGCAUAUUUCUUUUUAUGAUUAAGUGUAGUUUACGGAAUAAUUGUUUAGUAUUGUUUUAUAUAUGUUGGUUUAAUUUGGUAGAAAUAUUUGGUAAAGGUUCAAUUGUUAAGAUAGCUAGAGUAGAUGGGAAACGUGACAAUGAUAAGAAUGGUAGCAUGAGGGUAAUACUAACCAUUCAGGAUAUGGCCUUUGCAAUACGUGAAACAAAUCAACAAAACCAAGAACCCCAUCAAGAGAUUCAAGGUUGUCAAACAAUGAGUGUUAAAGGAGAAAGAUAAAUGAACAAAGAGUUCUAGGAAAUCUGAAAGUGGCUAUUGCUUCUACCUAUUUGGGAGGAGCAAGGAGACUAGAAUAACUCACUCAAGGACAUGUGUAUGCUAUUGGACAAGUGACAAAGCAAAAUGAACCUACUAUGGUAGAAGGUACAUUUCUAGUUUACAACUCAUGGGCUAAGAUAUUGUUUGACCCCGGUGCUACAAAUUCAUUCAUCUCUAUUUCGUUUGCGUUUAUUCUUGGAUUAGAAUAUGAAUUUAUGAAAUCUUCAUUAAUGGUUGGAUCUCCAUUGGGUAAAUGUGUCGAAGUUAAUAAGGUGUGUAGAUCUUGCAUAAUAGAGAUAUCAUAUCAUAAACUUGUUGUUGACCUAAUGAUAUUGGAAUUAAUGGAGUAUGAUGUAAUAUUAGGGAUGGACUUGACCCAAUUUAAAGCUAUUUUUUAUUGUGGUAGAAAGAUGGUGACUAUGACUCUUAGCGAGGGAAAACAUGUAGUUUCUAUGGAAGUAGGAAUACUCACAUCAAUCUUGGAUAAUGGAAAUUGUAAUUAUUUGAGAUUGAUUGCUUACAUGGUCACUGAGGAUCUAAGUAAUACCAAGCUUGAGCUUAUCCAAAUAGUGAAAGAUUUCGGUGAUGUUUUCCCAGAAGAAUUAUAUGGAAUCCCCCUAGAAAUGGAGUUUUUCUAUAGAUAUUUAUCCUGGCAUGUCGCCUAUAUCUAUACCUCCACAUUGAAUGGCACCAAUAGAGUUGAAGGAACUCAAAACACAACUUCAAGAACUUGAAAGUAAAGGUUUUAUUCGUCCUAGUACCUUACCAUGGAGGUUUUUUCUCCAUUCUUUGUGAAGAAAAGUGAUGGAAGUUGUAACACCCCGACCUCAAAUUUAACCCUUAUUUAAGUAUUUAAUUAUUUAAGGGCAUUUUGGUCAUAUUUUUAACCGGAGAGAGUUUGGGGCAGUGACUAUGUCACAUCUCGGGAUCAACUCCGUCGUAGCACGAUAUUGUCCGCUUUGGGCCCCCCCUCUCUGGCCCUCACGGUUUUGUUUCUGGGAGCUCACGAGCAACUUCCCAGUGGGUCACCCAUCCUGGGAUUGCUCUGGCCCCAACUCGCUUAACUUUGAAGUUCUUACGACUUCGAAGCCAGUGAGCUCCCAAAAGGCCUCGUGCUAGAUGGAUGCGGGUGUGCAUAUAUAAGGCACAUCGCCCCCUCUCCGUUGGUUGAUGUGGGAUCUUACAAUCCACCCCCCUCAAGGGCCCGACGUCCUCGUCGGCACACUCACACCACACGGCAGAGUGGCUCUGAUACCAAAUUGUCACAUCCCGGAAUCAACUCCGUCGUAGCACGAUAUUGUCCGCUUUGGGCCCCCCCUCUCUGGCCCUCACGGUUUUGUUUCUGGGAGCUCACGAGCAACUUCCCAUUGGAUCACCCAUCCUGGGAUUGCUCUGGCCCCCAACUCACUUAACUUCGAAGUUCCUACGACUCCGAAGCCAGUGAACUCCCAAAAGGCCUCGUGCUAGAUGGAUGCGGGUGUGCACAUAUAAGGCACAUCGCCCCCUCUCCGUUGGUUGAUGUGGGAUCUUACAGACUAGUAUUUUUGGAUAGGUCGUACUGAGACGAGUUCAUAGACAUGUAGUGGGCUCGAAUCGGAGUUGUAACGAGAGAGAUAUGGUCAAAAGAAGCCCAGUGGCACAAUCGUAAAUAUUUCGAAAUAGGAUUUUUUUUAUAAAAACUCAGAUUUUCUCUCUCUCUCUCUCUCUCUCUCUCUCUCUCUCUCUCUCUCUCUCUCUCUCCCGCGGGUCUCUCUCUCCUCUCUCACGCGCGCGACGGCAGCUGGCCACGUUUUGGCCGGCCGUGCUCUCCUCCGACCACCAAUGACGACGGGACCGGUACCAAAAUGACCGGGCCGUCGUCCUCUCGAGCUGCUCUAGCUGAUGGUUGGGUAGGAUUAGAUCGAUUCUUAGCGUAGACAAUUCGAUUUUCGAAUUGAAAUUCGGCCGGUUUUGGGAUCGUGAUUCCGGCCACUUCCGGUCAGUUUUUGGGGUAGGUCCAAGAACAAAAGUGGCUCCAAAUAGGGUGUUAUACCUAGGGUAGGAGUUUGGAGCCGUCGUUUUGAGAUUUUCCGGCGAAGCGUUAUCGCUUUGGGCACCCACGGGCUGCCGGAGCGUGCGGCGGCGCGUGGGCACUGUAGAAAAAGUAGCAUGUGUUCCGAUGAGAUCCUUAGGUUGUCACGAGUGCGUAGGAUUUCGCGGAUCUCAAUUCGGACGUCGUUUGACUAUCGAACGGAUAUUCGCAUAUUGCGCGUUAUCCAGGUGCGAUAGGUUGGGGCCGUUGGAUGGACCCAAAUUUAAUAUAUGUUGAUCUAGGUAUUUCUAGGAUCGUGUAGGAAUUCACGGAUUGUGAAUCGGAGCCCCGAAUGUUCCGAAAAAUAAUUUUAAAGUUUUUAUUUUAUAUUAACCGUCAGAUCGUGCGAUCGUGAGCGAUCCGACCGUCCGAUCUGAAUCAAACUUGCAGGACAAGAGUCCUAUACCUGGUAGAACCCAUAGGGACUCUCGGAUCGGAAAUUGGAGGUCGUGGGUUCCGCAGGUCCUUUUGACCAGGGUUAUAGUAGUUUGACCCUUGGUUGACCGUGAGUCUCCCGGAGUAAUCUCACCUUUCUAGGGGAGAUUAUCGGGUACUAGAUUAUUGUGGAGGGUUACACAAUAUUAGAAUUAAUUUAUAUAUUUAUAAUUAUAAUAUGUUUGUACAAGAGUACAAAAGAGUCUAGACUGUCAGUUUGGAGUGCUAUACGCACUACUUUAGGUACCUUCCCGAAUUUUGGAUUCACUACAAGCACCACCAAGUGAAAGUUAGGUCUCACAUGGCGUAGGUUAUCCGGCGUUGAGACAGGCCCCAUACGUGGCGUUGGUUGUACCGGCAUAUGGGGAGAUAUUGUGAUAUUGUGUUGAGGUCGCACGUGGCGUAGGUUAUCCGGCGUGUCGACAGACCCCAUACGUGGCGUUGGUUGUACCGGCGUAUGGGGAGAUUUUUGAUAUGAUAUUGAGGUCCCGCGUGGCGUAGGUUAACCGGCGUUGGGACAUGCCCCAUACGUGGCGUUGGUUGUACCGGCGUAUGGGGAGAGAUGUGAUAUGAUGUGCAGGUCUCGCGUGACGUAGGUUAUCCGGCGUUGUGACAGAUCCCAUACGUGGCGUUGGUUGUACCGGCGUAUGGGGAGAUAUUAUGAUAGUAUGGCAUGGUCGCACGUGGCGUAGGUUAUCCGGCGUGUUGACAGGCCCCAUACGUGGCGUUGGUUGUACUGGCGUAUGGGGAGAUAUUAUAUGAAAUACAAAGAAAUGAAAUAAGGUAUCGCCCAAGUGUGGAAUUGGGUUUUAUGGAAGAACUACGUGUGGCUUGAUCCCUCAAGGAGGGUACGUAGGCAGCCUAAGGUUAUUAGCUGCAGCCGCAGACUAAAUAUUAGUCAUAAUUGGUAUUUGAAUUGUUUGGUAGUUGGUUAAGAAUUAUUGGAAGGCCGAAGGCCAUUUGUGCGAAUUGCAUGAAAUUAUAUUGUGCAUGCUGCCAGUUGGGAAUAUUAAAUGUGUUUCCAUGCAGGUAUAAAUUUUGGGAAAUGUCCAAUUUAUAGGGGAGACUCUGCCGAAUUUUCGGCAGGAAGUCUCGAUUUUUAGUAUUUGGGCCUGAUAUCGGGAGGAUGUCGGGAAUUUCAAAGGGUUCGCCUCGAGUUCUGAAAAAUUCGGGGCGGGUCCUUUCAGAAGUCUUAGGAUGUGUUUUGUUGCAAGCUAACAAAGUAGUUGCAUACGACUUUUUUCAAUUGAAAUGACAUGAAAAGAAUUAUCUAACACAUGAUCUAGAAUUGGCAACCAUUGUUCACACACUGAAGAUAUGGAGAUAUUAUUUGUAUGGGGAACGUUUUGAACUCUUUUUGGAUCAUAAGAGUUUGAAGUAUUUAUUGACUUAGAAGGAGUUGAAUUUAAGACAAAAGCGAUGGAUGGAAUACCUGGAAGAUUAUGAUUUUGACUUACAUUAUCUUCCAGGAAAGGCUAAUGUGGUAACAGAUGCUUUAAGUCAAAAUCCUCAAGGAAUUGUAGCAAGUUUGUAUGAUCAAAGGUGGAAGAUGGUGGAGUCUCUUUACGAUUUUGACCUAUAUAUAGGUGCGCAUGAGGAUUGUGCAUAUCUAUGUAAUUUGGUAACUCACCCCACUUUGAUUGGAAGAAUAAUUGAGGCACAGGAUUUGGAUUCUAUGUCUGAAGACAUUCGAACUAAGAUUACAACUAGAAAGACACAGGAAGGAUGGAGUAUCCUCACAAGCAGUGGAUUAAGAUAUUUGAAUAAGUUUUAUGUACCAAAUAUUUCUGAUAUAAGAAAUGAAGUUCUCAGAGAAAGUCAUCAUUCACCUAUACAAUUCAUUCUAGAGGGACAAAGAUGUAUCGUGAUUUUAGACGUAAUUUUUGGUGGAGUAGUAUGAAGGGAGGUGUAGAAAUAUUUGCAGCAAAAUGUCUAACAUGUUAGCUGGUGAAAACUGAAUAUCAGAAACCGUCAAGUCCAUUACAGCCAUUACCAGUAGUAGAAUGGAAAUGAGAUCAUAUAACAAUGAAUUUUGUUACAGGUUUACCUAAAUAUCCAAAAGGACGUGAUGCAAUAUGGAUUAUGGUGGAUCGUUUGACCAAAUCUGCACAUUUCAUACAGUCAAAUCAAUGGAUUCCACUAAAAAUCUUGGAAAGCUUUACGUUAGAGAUAUAGUAAGAUUACAUGGAAUUCCUAUUUUGAUUGUAUCGGAUAGAGAUUCCAAGUUUACUUCUAAAAUUUGGGGAAGCUUACAGAAAGUGUUAGGUACGCAACUAAAUUUGGUACCGCCUUUUAUCCCCAAACUUAUGGACAAUUGGAGAGAACUAUUCAAAUUUUAGAGGACUUGUUGAGAGCAUGUAUUCUAGAUUUGGAGGGAAGUAGUUGGGAAGAUCAUUUAGUGGUAGUAGAGUUUGCCUACAACAACUAUCAGUCUAGCAUUCAGAUACCACCUUAUGAAGCUUUAUAUUGAAGACCUUGUCAAUCACCUGUGUGUUGGACUGAAGUAGGAGAAACUGUAUUGCUAGGACCUGGUUUGGUACAAGAGACAACUGAAGGGAUUAAAGUUAUCAAGCAACGUCUUUUAACUACUCAAAGUUGACAAAAGAACUAUGUAGACCGAAGAAGGAAAACAUUAAGUAUUGACGUGGGUGAUUAUGUAUUUCUUAAACUCUCACUACUAAGUGGAGUAAAAAAAGGUUUGGGAAGACUGGAAAAUUAUCACCAAAGUUUGUUGGACCAUUUGAAAUCUUAGAAAGGAUGGGUGAAGUAGCUUAUAAGUCAGCAUUACCACCUCAACUGUUGAAUGUACCUGAUGUUUUCCUUGUUUCUAUGCUUCGAAAGUAUGAGCCUGAUCCAACCCAUUUUCUAGAUUGAGGAGAGCUCAAUUUAGAUGAGGAACUGUCAUUUGAAGAAAGACCGACUCAGAUUUUGGAUUCUAAGGAACAAGUGUGACGUACGAAAAUAAUAUCAUUGGUCAAAAUUCUUUGGGUACAUGGGAAUACAUUGAAAGCUACAUGGGAAUUAGAAACUAAAAUGUGUAAGAAGUACCCAUAAAUUUUUCCCUUAUUCCAGUUUUUCUUUUUAAAUUUCGAGGACGAAAUUUCUUUAAGGAGAGUAGAUUGUGAGAGUCUGUUUCUUAAAUGUUCAUUAAAGAAAAAUAAAUGUUAUUAUAUAUUCUUAAGUAAUUAUCUUGCUAAGAAGGAAAUGUAUAUUUAUAAUUGUUUUACGUUUAUAAUACCAUUUCAAUAGUUAUGUGUAUAUUAUUUCAUUAAAUAUUUAUAUAUACAUAUGUUCUUUUGAAUAAAAAGGGUUAAAUUAUAUAUUUGUUCAUUAUUUCUUGGGAUGCCAUUAGAUGGUUAUUGGGUGCUUUAUAUACAUAUAUAUUAAUAACAUGGAUUAACAGUUUAGACCUGGCAUCCUUACAUUGUUUUCUUGGAGAGAAUGACUGUUUCUCUCUUAUCUUAAUUUGGAUGCUGGAUGUGGUUUUUUCCAUUAAAUUAGUUGAUGCAUUACCAUGCAUUUGGACAGCUCAUGCUUACAAUUUGGUGAAUAAGUCUAUCUUAGCUUGAGGUGGAGUUUAUAAUUUCAAUAGGUGUCACAGCCUUUGGAAAUAAAUCUCCUGGCGUUGACACAUAUAUAGCAACUUAUAAAAAAGAGUGGCGACCAAGUUAUCUUUUUGUAUAGAUAAGAUAAUGGGCUUUGUUAUUAUCCUCUCCACUGUUACCGCCAUCUCACCACCUAUAAAUAGGAGUGUUAAUGAAAGGAACAUAUAUCAUGCAACAUGAGAGAGAGAGAGAGAUAUGAUGAUGAUGAUGAAAUCCUUGGAAGAGAUUAGGACUUAACUUGUAUUUUCUUAACAUAGAGAUAUGUUUUGGAAUCGAGAUAGGAGUUUUUUGGUGACCUUUUACAAAGAUUGAUCUAAUUAAAUUUUGUGAGCACUAUAUUAUGCAUGAUAUUAUUAUUUGAUUAUUAUUGAUAUUGGGUGUUUAAGUGUUGUUAAUUAUCAUCAUAUUAUUUUAUUCAUAUUGACAUGAUCAUAUGUUAUCGGUGAUGGCUGGAAUUCUUGGGUUGAUAAAGAAAGUAAGAAAAAGGGGGUAAUGGGAAGGAUCUUUUGUGUAGUUGAGUCUAACUCUUGGCAGGUACCAGGUCUCAAGGAUCUCGCAGUGCACAUGGUUUUCAUUGGGUGAUUCGGGACUAGCGACAGAGAGUUAGACAAGAUGACUAACGAAAUGGGAAUUAUGAGAAGAUUGAAAUGGGUGUUUGUUCAUAUAAAUGGGCAUUUGGGGCCAAGUGGUAUAAGCAUGGUAUGGGACGUGCAGGUCUGCUUGUGCAGUCAUAUGAAUUAACAGGAGUAGAUGAAGAGCAUUCAUUCAUGCAUUAUUAUUAAUAAUGUGAUAUUUAGCUGUGUGAUUACAUGUCACUUAAUUUAGUUAAAUCAAUCUACUGUGGUGAGGUCUCAUGUCCCUACUGAGUGGUGGUUUCUCAUCCCUCACCCUGUUUAAUUUUUCAGAUGAAUUAGUGGGCAUGACAAGGACUAAAUCAGUUGAGGCUGAACUAGAUGAGAGUGAUAGAGCUUUAUUUUUUUUAAUUGUAAAGUUUUAAGAUUUUGGGAGCUAUUUUUAUAAGAAAAGUUUAUUUUAUGUUUCGGCUUCUUUUUAUUCUAUUUUACCUUUUAUUUUCUCAUGCACUGGGCACGGGGUUUCCACUGACCCACGGGUCCGGGGCGUGACAAGGGUUAAUCGUUUUAUUCGUUCUUGGACUUAGACCUGGUUUGCAUUUGAGUACCUCAAUUUCCAAAAUCGUUCUCAUAUUCCUUUAACUUCACUUUUGUUAGGACAAAUGGUCCAGCCAUUAAUUUUGUUAACUUUUUCUGUUAAAUGCAGGGGCAAAAUGGUAUUUUUAUAUUAAAACCAAAAGAAUAAAUAAAUAAUCACAUCUUUAAAAUAACAAUAAAAUCAAAUCAAAUAAAAAACCAACCAAAAAAAAAUCGAGUUUGGGAAGAGUAGAAAUCGGGAUAGAGGGGGAGAGAGAGAGUUUAAUUUUAAUUUUUUAUUCAUAUUUUAAUCAAUUUAAUACAAAAUGAGGAGAACUACCCCCCCUCUUCUUCUCUUUUUAUUCACUACAUGCCAUGUAAAGAGAAGAACUAAAUGAGGUUAGGUUAUUAAAAUUGGGUGAGCUAGGAUUCUAUUUUUUUUGGCUGGAAAAAAGAAGCCACCUGGGUUGCCAAACUAAAGGUACAUCCGUGGGUAAGCUAGGAUUUUAUUUUUUUUUGGCUUGAAAAAAGAAGCCACCUGGGCUAUAGCCCAGGUUUGCCAAACUAAAGGAAGGUCUGUGGGUGGGCUAGGAUUUUAUUUUUUUGGCUGGAAAAAAGAAGUAGGUUUGCCAAACUAAAGAUCCGUCUCUGUUUCCACUUCAACCCAUUUACAAUCAAACUAUUUUAUGACUAAAACACUUCACAUUAAUGAUAAUUUUAUUAAACUAAAACACAGUUUUAUGAGUCUACUUAUGGAGAAAAACUUAGUUGCAAUGAGAUAACACUAUUUUGCUAUCCUUAUUUCAUAAAAGUCUUUCUCCUACUUAUGACUAUGGUUGCAGCCUGCAAUAUUCUUAAAAUAAUAAAAAAAUAAAAAAAAUAAAAAAAGUAGCUAUUCUGAAGGACAUUACCUCACUUUUGCUGUAUAAAUACUCUGCAUUUGCAAGCACUGCAAUGCACACACAAAAGCUAAGAUGGAUUCCAGAGAAGUAGCAACUAAGCCACACGCUGUUUGCAUUCCAUUCCCUUAUCAAAGCCAUAUAAAGGCAAUGCUUAAAUUUGCAAAGCUCCUCCACCACAGAGGUUUUCAUAUAACCUUUGUUAACACAGAGUUCAAUCACAAGCGCUUUCUUAAAUCUCAAGGACCCAAUUCCCUUGUUGGCUUGCCUGAUUUUCAAUUCGAUGCCUUCCCGGAUAGCCUUCCGGAUUCAGAUGAAGAUGCCACACCAGAUGCCACCUUGCUUUGUGAAUCCAUCAGAAAAAAAAAAUUCUUGGCUCCCUUUCAUGCCCUCCUUGCAAAACUCAACAAUGAUGCCAUAUCAACAUCCCACAAUCCUCCUGUGACUUGCAUAGUUUCAGAUGGUUUCAUGUCCGCGUUCACAAUCACAGCUGCUGAAGAAAUCGGAGUCCCUAUAGCGCUGUUCUACACU